UUUUUUUUUUUUUUUUUUUUUGCGUUUGUUGUAUUUUUCCAACCAUGCACUGUGCUAUCUUUUGAUGUGCACGUUUAACAUCAGCACAAUACAACUGUGCGAUGUAAAAUUUCCAAAGCGACUGAUUCAGGAGACAAGGACACAAACAUUAAUGCAAGAAAGAUAUUUACUUAAAUCUUGCAUUCUUUAUUUUUCCAAUUACUUAAGAUUUAUGGGUUUUUGUAAUCCUAGGCAGGACCAAACUUUAGUGUGCUUCAUGAACAACUCUCUCGGCCUGCACUCGUUUAAUUUUCCAGCUUUUCUAAAGCCUAUGCAUUUGUGUCUUCUUUUGCCAGUUCUAAUUGUACAGCCCACUGCCCACACAGGAAGAAGAGCCGUCAACCCUAAACAAGAUUACGUGUCUAUCAAAUGUUUCCAAUUUGAACAUUAGAAUUGCUAGGAACGGUUAAAGAAUUAGUAAAAAAUUGGAAGAUUUGGUAGCAAGUCUUGGAAAUCCGUGAGGACCCGAAUUAUACUGCAUGCCACGAAUUAUAUUGAAUACAUUUAUUUUUUUGAGCUUCGAGUCAAUAGAUUACUUGGGUUACUUUUCAGUAGUUUUUAAUUAGGUGGUCGGCAUCAUUGGGUUUAUCUCGAUAAAUUAUGUGCUAGAUCUAAGGAAGUUUGGUUAUAAGUUACUUUCAGAGGCUUUUUAAUUCAAUGUCGGAGAUUGGGUAUCAUGUUAUUUGAUUUUUAUCCUUGGAAUGGCUACUAAUUUAGUAGUCAGAACAACUGAAAUCCUAGCUGGCUUAGCAGUAUAUUGCAUUGAUAAACUAUCAACACAAAGUUACCCUAGCAUGCAGGCGAAAGAUCUAAUGAAUGGUAUAUAAGGGGGAGGGAUAAGUCAGGCGAUAGGGAGUGUAAGCGAGAGAUUCGGGUUUGAAAUCUUUUACUUAUAUUAAAAAGAGAGUGAGACAGAGAAUGGCAUUGAAAAUUUUCAUGUUCUAGUUAAUUUUGCGGAACAACAAAAUAUAAAGAAUUUUUAAAAUUUAAAUGCUCUAAUUUGGGCUAGGAGAGAAGAAGAAAAAGUAAAUAUUGAAGAGGUAUAAACGUUUCUAAUCUUGCCGACUGUUUUCUUAAAAAAAAAAUUGGAUGCAUGGGAAGCAUAACGCCGAAAAUUAGAUCUUAAAAAUAUACAAACAGAAAAUAUUUGCACAAAAUGAAACAAAUAAAAUUUAUCUUUCAUCGAUUUAGGUAAUAUGAUACACAAUUAAAAUGUAACUCAUUUUAAUUUGUUGCUGACCAACCUGAGUUGUAAUCUUUUAACCUUUACUAGCUAGUAAGGGAUAACUGAGUUCGAGGUAGUUCAAGAACCUAAAAAAAACUUGAAACUUUGUUGAAGGCUAAUUGAUCAGCUGUUAAAGUGAUAUGGUUGCCAGUUUUAUAUUGGUUUUCUCAUUGAUUGGGAUAUUUUACUUUCAUAAGUUGCAUGGGAAAUCUAGACCUUGAUGGAGAUAGAGAAACGAGAGGGUUAGAAAGUUGAUUUAAGUGCCUCAGAUACCCUAAAACAGUGUUCUUGCCAUCUAAUCAAGUUGAUGGGCAUCUAUUGUGAUGUUCAACUCUUAAAUAAAUCUCCAAAAACAAUUUUCUAACGUCUAUGGUCUAAUGUGUGAAUGUGUUUGGCUUUUCAGUUUCUUGAACAGAAAGAAACGUUUUACCGACACCACUUGGUCUAUGUGCAUCUGCAUAGUAGACUUUGAGUGUGUCUAAAUAGUAGAUUAUUUGGGAUAAUUUUUUUGAAAAAAAUACUGUAAUACUUUUUUGAUAUAUAUAUAUAUAUAUAUAUAUAUAUAUAUAUAUAUAUAUAUAUAUAUAUAUAUAUAUAUAUGUGAGAUAAAGUUAUUAUUAAAAAAUGUACUGAAAGUGCAAGCAAAUAAAAAUUGAAAAAUGAACUAUAAUUCAAACAAUUUUUAUUUUAAUGCUAGGAAGAUUCUUGCACAUACGCAAGAGCACUGGUGGAACUAGAGAUUGGGAUUUAAAGACAAAACUAGUACAGAUGCAUAUUUUGAAAAGAAUUAAUCUUACAGACAAUUUAUACAUUAUCAUUAUUGUCGGAUGUAUGACCACUAACCUGAACUUAAUUUUGAAAACCAAAUUUUGUACAUGUAUCAUGCAUCGAAGCGUGAUAAUGUAUACGCUAACAGUGUAUGUAAGAUUAAUAUUUUUAAAAAGGGUAUCUUUAUAUAUUUGAAAAAAAAAAGUGAUAAAAUAUAUUUGUUUACAAGGAUGUAUGUAAAUAUUUAUUUAAAGGGAUGUUAAAGGAUUUCUCAACUCUUGUGGGAAGAAGGGGUAAAGUCUAAUUUCUAUUUGGGUAUAAAUGAAUGUUUUCAGUUUUUACUAGGGGUGUACAAGAAUAUUUGAAAUCUUGGGCCGCCCCCCUUACACCCGCCAGCGCAGAGGAAAAUCCGUCGCCCGCUGUUUUUUAUUUCUUUCAGAGGUCAUUUCGAGUCUCUUUCGUCCCUAAUUGACUGAAAACCAAAUCAAAUAAUUUCUCAAAUUUAACUGUAUCAUCUCAAAGUACGAAAAAUACUAUAUAAAUAUUUAAGACCAAGAAAAGGGGACCAACAACUGUCCACUGAAACUUAGUGAGGAUUCUACAUGUAGCUGAGAUUUGUGCUCGUGGAGUUUUCAUGGGUGUAUUGCUUCAUCUUAAUAAAAGUUUCUAUUUUUGCUCAAAAAAAAGGGACCGACGGACAUCUAAACGAAGGCUACCUCUCCUAAGGUUUGUAAUGAUUGCAGUCCCUUUCCUUAAAGUUUGAAAAAUUACAAAAACUUUCUUUAGGAGAUAUGUUUUGGUAACAAAUUGUGAUGUAAAUACAAAUAAUCUAAUGAAUAUUCUAUAUUGCUCCUAGAGGUGGCAAAAUGGGCGGGAUGGGCGGGAUUUGCUUGGGUUUGAGAUGGAACCGAGUCAUAUGGGUUUGGGCCCAACCUUACCCAUAUGUGUUUUGGGACUAACUUGGGCGGGAUCACUUUGGGAUGGGUUUAGAUUGAUCCCGCCCAAUACCCAAAUCCAUUUCCUACAUAUUUUUUUCCUUUAAUUCAUUUUAUAUUUUUUAUAUAAUUUUAAUAUUUUUGAUUUAUUAAAUUUCUUUUAGUUUUAUUAAAUAAACAUGCAAGUGCUUUAUACUCAAGAUUCCCACCAAAAAUUGGAUUAACAAAUAAAGGAAAAGAUAGAUAUACAGACAUAUUCUAACAUAUAUCAAGAUGGCCAAGGUCCUUAGGAUGUUGAAUAUUUAUUCUCGUCAUUGUCCAAGGAUGACAGGCCUAAACUGACUGAAAUGCUAGAAAUUUUUGUGGAUAAUGACUAGGAAGACUACUAGAUUAUAUUCGCUGGUAUGACUAUAAAAAUUGUUAAAGAUAAUUUUUGAAUCUAAGACUCCGUUUGGAUUGACUAUUUUUCCAAAAAAUAAGUUUUUCAAAUACAAUGUUACAGUAAUAUACAAUAACUCAAGAAACAUCCCAUCCAUAUUAGUAUAUCAAAUAUUUCAAAAAAAUUUUAUAGUAAAAAUUUUUCAUAUACAUUGUUAUAAUAAAAUAUUUCAAAAAUACCCCCCAAAAAAUAGCUAAUCCAAACUGAGCCCUUGCUAUUUGAGCCCAAUGGGUACCCAAGUAUUUCCCACCCUUUCCCAUUCAUUAAUGGGUAUAGUUGGGAUGUGUCCCAACUUAAACCCAAUAUCAAAUUAUAAUACCCAUCCCGCCCAAAGUUCCUUUGGGCAUGGGUAGCCCAUUGGGACUUGGGACAAAUUGCCAGCAUUUGCUCCUAUUUGAUUUACAAAACAAAUUAAAUGACAAAAAAAAAAUCAAAUAUCGGCAUUAUUUACUAAGCAAAUAAUUUUAAGGUAGUUUUUUUUUUUGCUGUAAAAUUUAGGCUAUAUUUUAAGGUAUUGCGAAAAAAAAAAACUGUUUGUUGCAAAUGCAUCCUUACUAGUAGGUUAUUUAUAAAACUAAGCAAGAAGUUCUUUUAAAUGACUUAUAAAUUAAAUAUAAUGUAUUUGGUGAGAUGAAGUUAGAGCUUUUGGAUAACAAAUAUUUGCAAAAUGCGGAUUUCUUUUUCCUUUACACCCACUUUUUAUUUAGAAUUUGUAGAGUUGUCAAGGGAGGUAAGUGUUAUUUUUUAAAAUCUCAAGGGAGGUGAUUGCAAUUGUCAGAAAUCGCAAGGGAGGGUUAUGAAAUUAUUCCCUAAACAAAAAACUUAAUUAACAACAAAAAAAUGAAGAAAUCGUAAUUAAGGGGUGAUAGCUACAGAAGAAAUUGAAGAAAUUUGAGAAUCUUACAUGACAGAUAGGGCUUGCUCUCAAUUGAUGAUUUUAGUUGAUUAUAGAUUUGGAUUUUGGAUAAUUAGUCUUUUGUGAUGUUCUCGAUUAUUUUGGCAUUCAAAUUGUAGGUUUUUAAAAAUAAAAAAAAAAUAAAAUUCAUAAUCAAUCGAAAAAUAAAUUUUGUUGAUUCUUUAUAAUCACUUUUCAUAAUCAAUUUUUGUAAAAUCUAAAGUAACGAGAACAAGGGCAUAAAAAAGGCGGCUUCAGAGAUUGUUCUUCUUCCCUCUCUUUUUCUAAUCAAAAAAUUUCAUUCCACUAGGCAAAAAAGAAAGUUGCUCUUAUGGUUUUUUGGGCUUGUAGGCCUUCUUCGGCAACCAGAUUUGUCUGUUUAAGAAGCAUUAGAAAGUGUGGAUGGGCUCUAAACCAAAAAAGACUCCUGUUGGAUUAAAUGGGCUCAUUAGGCCUUCUCAUUUUCGUAAAAGCUGUGGUCGGCUGAGUUCAUGCAAGGUCCAUUGCAAUGGAAGAAGUUGGGCUCCAAAUCUUGUGGAAUUUAAGUAUUCAGCCUUAAUUUACAGGUUAGUUUGGAUAAUAGAGGAUUCCGUGGAAAAUGCACUCCCAAAUUCAAGAGAUUCGGGCACUAAAAACUAAAAACUACCCAUUUUCAAAUUACUUGGAUUUAGAGUUAGCUCAACAGAUAUCUGGAUUUGAAUUUUUUUUUUCGUGCUUUAGUAUUUAGAUGGCAAUUUAAAGCACUUGAAGAAGGUUCAUUAAAUAAUACUUUGUGUCAACUCAAAUUACUCCUUUUUUUCCAUCCCUUCUGUCCCACAAUCAAUCAUGAUAGAACUAGUAAUUCAUGACAGAACUAGUAAUUCAUCACAAAUCUUUGAGAUACAUAAAAGAGCCAUUAGUGCAGCUUUCUUAGUCGAAUAAAUCAUACUGGACGAUUUUCAACUAGUUUAUUAAUAAUAUUAGCUUCUAUUUUAUUUGUUUUUAAAAAAAAAGAGUCAACAUGAUUGCUACAGUGAAUUGAGCAAUGAUUUGGACAGAUUAUUUGGCAAUUCAGAUCAAUUUGAGUGGCUUUUUAGUUGUGCUUUGAACUGAUUAUUUUUGUAAUUUUUGGUAAUUAAGUUGCCAUUCAAAGCCAUUCUCAGGUUAGUGGACGUUGGCUUGUUCUCUUAUUUGCCAUUAGAUUUGGCUGUAUUUGAAAACCGGCUGUUGAUUCUGAUGGUUAGAGGUGCAGACAAGCUGAGUCGAGUUUUAAUAGAUGGAUUAUAUUUGUAUUUCAAAUCGAAUUUUGUAUAUGUUAGAGCUUCAAGCAGUACAAAAUACUUCGUGUUUAUAUAAAAUACAGCUUGGAGGACAUCAAUUUAUGUAGAAUUCGUAUGUGUUAUAAUAGCUCUCCUAAAAUUGAGUGGAUUAGGUGGAAAUUGCCUCCGAGGGGAUCCUGUGGCUUCUCCCAAUUUUGAAAGGGAAUUGAAUAGCAACUGAAUGGGGAUUGUAAAGAAUCAUAAUUACUCUACAGAAUUAGCAAAUGUUUUGAUUCUUCCUUUAUUCCAUACAUGUUCAUUGUGAUUGAGAUUAGUUUACAUUAGCUAUCACAUCUCGUACAUCAAGUUCAGCAAUUUUGGCAUCCUACCAUGGUGGUUAUAUAUCUACUGUAUUUUGGUAAUCUUUCUACGUACAGUGUUUUUUUUCUUUACUAAUUCUACUGAAUUUUGCAUGUUAGGGAUCACUAAUUACUUGUAUCAUCAGCUCAAAAAUUGUUUCAUUUUAUCACAACGAUAGGUGAAUUAGCAGAAAAUUAAAACGGCUGCUAAGCAAAGUGAGAUCAACAACUGAAAGACAUUAUCUUAAUUACCAGCCAAAUUACACAGUAAAUGACCAGAAUAUUACAUCUUCAAAAGAAGACAUUGACACAUGACAUACUAGCUUACAAAGGAUUAAAAAUAACAAAAAGAGGAAGAAAAAAAAAAAAAAAAAAAAGGAAAGAAAGGAUGGUUCCUUGAACAAACAGCACGGAACUAAUUUUCCUUACUAUGAAUCUGUUGCUAAACAUCCAUAAAUCAGAUGGAUGCAAAUUCUUCAUUUAUAUUCCAAAAUCAUGUUGUUCUCUGGUGCGAGUCCAACACAAGCCCUCAAUAUGUUCUCUAGCAUUGCCCUCUGUUUUGAAAGUGCAUUCACCACUGGUGUGCCUGGUGGUACCUGUUUUUCCCCAAGAAAUCAAUCAAUUACUACACCAUAAAAUGAAUACCAUUGCGAUUUCAAGCCAACCAGUGCGUUUCUGGUGGUGUGUUGCAUGAAUGAUAAACACAGGAAUCAGGUGAAACUGGGCAUAUUUGGCUGCAUUUGUGAGUUUUGAGGCUAAGAUUGGCUCUGAAAAAUCAGGAGGAAAGAGCAAAGUAUUAACAACUUACAAGAGGGGCUUUAGAGAGAUAGCUGAGAAUUGUGGCCACAGGGUGGAAGGAGUGGAACUUUCCCUGAAAACAAAAUCAAAUUGGAAAUGGAAGAGCAUAAGAGCAAGUAUAUGCAUCAUCAAGAACUCACUAUUCAGAAUAAAGGCAAAUGAUUUUUUAAGUGACAAAUGUGACUGACCUCUCCUUCAGCUUUGAGCUGAAUGCGAGUGCUAAGUUCAGCAAGGAGGACAAGAUCCAAGAUGAUUGGAGCAGCCAAAAGAGAGUCUUCACAAGUGUUGUGCAACACUAUAGUGCUCUUUCCCCCCAUAAAUAUUUCUGAUGUGUAUUCAUCCAUGGCUCUCUUGCUGUCUCCAACAUAUGGCACAUACUGCAGCAACAUACAAAUUUCAUCAGCCCCACAUCGAAUGAUCAUCAAGAAACUUAAGAAUAUUAAGAAAUCAUAUGAAGAUUAAGAGCUGCUUAACUACAUAUAGCUCCACAAACAUGGUUUUAGACACAACUUUUCAACUGCAGGACAAGAAGAUGCGUUUAUUUCUAUCAGUACCUUAAUGACAACAACAUGGUCAGGGUGCUCCCCAGGUUCAUAAAGGAUACCAUUGCUGGCAACCAUGUCAUCCACCACAUUGCUUUUGGAGAUCUCCUUGGACCUAAAAGUUUGAGGGGCAGAAAGAUUCAUGCCAUCAUUGUUCCCCAAAUGGUUGUAGCUCACAAUUGAAGUUGGCUGGCAAGCAAAUUACACACAUCCCACCAAGAUAAGUUAAAGAGUUAGCAGUCCUUUGUAAUCUUACAAAACACUGAAGAAGACCGGCUAUACCUUGAUACCAGCCCCCACAAGGAAAUCAACAAGCACAGAUUUCAUCUUUGUCUGCCCGCUCUUGAAGUCAUCUCCACCAAUCAAACAGUUCCUCUUAAUGGCCAAAUCAAUCAAACCUGACAUAAUUCAGUACCGUAACCAAAUUAAUAAUUUUUGUCGGACAAUUACAAUAAACUGAGGGGUUAGAAGCCUGUUCCAAAAAGUUCAUCAUAAAGAUUAACAGAGAAAGGAAGAAACCUGGGACGAAGGUGUUCUGAGGGCUCCCGUUUAUAAAAGGGACAUUUUCAUACAUGCAAGCUAUAGCAUACAAGGUGGAGGGUGAAAUCUCAGCCUCAUUUCUGUCCAAAGCAGCAAGAAGAUUUUCCGUCGUGUCAUUAAGGCCAACAGCAACAUUGCUGUAUCUCUCUGUGUUAGCGGUCCAUAAGACAACAAUCUUGUCCACCUUGUUCUUCUCCUUAAACUCCCUAUUAUACACGACAAUUGAAAAAAAAAAAAACAGAAAUUAGGUAAAGAAAUAACCAAGCCCACUUUAUCAUUAGCCUUAAUGAUGAUAAGUGAAUAAGAUUAGUACCUAAUAUCCUUAAUAACUUGUUCAACUUGUUCUUUCUUGGUUCCUUUGAUCAAGUUGUUAGCACGUGAGCCUUGAUUAGCAGCAAUGAAAUCAGGGUCAUAGAUACCAGGGAGAGGGACCAUGGAUUCCAUGUAGGGCCUCAAUUGUUUCUGUAGAUCAAUAUCUAAGACCUUAGCCCUGGCCAUGGCAUCAGCCAAAUUCAGGUUGCUUAUGUCCCACCCUCCAAAAACAAUGUCAUCUGGGUUGACCUGUUCAUCAUGGCCAAAUCAUUAAAAAUGAAUUAUUAUUCUUAAAAUCAUCAAUAAGACCUACCCUGGUUUUACACAAUCAAGACAUGUGGUGGGCCAUGGCCAUGCAUACCAUGGGAAGGAGGCUCUUGAAUGGGGCAUAGAUCUCCUCUCCAUUGAAGGAUCCAACCCUUAUGGAAGAUGCCUGGGUAAGAGAGCCGAAGUAAUUUGCUUGUUGCACUUUGUCCUUGGUCGCCCAAGAAAUUCCCCUGCAAAAAUUUUAAUUAAGCCAUAUUCCAAUAUUAUUUCACCGGAUCCCAUCAGAAUUAUACAUAUAAAAAAAAUUCAGAGCUUGGAUUUGACUAUCAACAACCUUAAUCUCAACGAAAUUUGAAAACCAAGAAUGAAUUGACUUACUCCCUGUUUGCAAUGACGCCUCCUGUCAGAGUUGAACCAUUGUUCCCUCCCCACCCCACAAGCAUAACCCUAUGCAAAAACAAACCAAACAAAACAAAAUCAUACCAUGAGAAACAAAACAAACUCGAUUAUGCAUUAGUAUAAUAUACCCAAAAAAAAGCCCUUUUUUUUUUAUCACUCCUACUAUUUUUUUCCCCCAAGAAUCUCUGCAUUUUAGGUGAUUUGGGCAAAAAUAAGAAAAGGGUUGGUUUCAGAAUACGAAUAUUCUCACCCUAAUUUGGGGACAUGAAUAUCAGUCCUGAACUCAUAUUGAACAGAUUUGGGCUUGACAAUCCACUGAUAAGUACCGUCUCUGUUCUCAUGAACAAGUUCGGUGGUUUCAUAGUUAUAAACAGAGUGAAUCUCACUCUCGGAGUACUUCACAUUGGGGCUGUCAACCUUAAAGUUCUCGAUAAACAUCUUUAAUUACAACAAAUAAACAAAUGUCAGACAAACCACGCUACAAUUUCAACAACACUCGUGAGGCAGAGGGAGACAGAGCAAGAAAGGCGAAGGAAAGAAUUGAGCUGAGAAGAAAAAAUGGGGAAACAAAAAAAACCCACAAUUUUAGGACUCCAGAAAGGAGUCCUUUUAACUGAUUUUUCUUCAAAUUUUCCUCUCAAUCUCUCCCUGCCUUCAACUGAACUCCUAGAACACCGCUCUCUCACUCUCAAGUGUGUGUUGUGUGUGUAAUCUCUGCGUUUGGCUUCCCAAGGGGCUGCAUAUAUAGCCCAAGUGGCUCACUUCGAGGGACACGUGGUGGGAGGUGACUGGUUUUGACCCCACGUUUUGCAAUCAUAAUUGGCUGCUCGUACGAUUUAGUGAAGCUUAGCCAUGCAAAAUUUUGUAUUAAAACUAAACGAGAAGCCCAUGUUUCUUUCUGUUGCUGUUAGUGUGUGACUGUGUGGAGAAUGGUUGCGUAAAUGAUAUUUGUUGGAGGUGGGAAAAUUGGGGAAAUUGACAGUAGUGGCUAGCCGGUGGACACCAGUCGGGGGGCGUCUAAGCCAAAUUGAAUCCGCAUUCUUCUUUGGAUGGCUUUGCAGAUGAAGAAGGGUGGAAUUUGAGAAGUAGCAAAGUAGAAGGACAAAAUAUAAUUCAAGAUCUCUAAUUCUUGACCUUUCAUCUUGGCAAUUGAAAAAAAAAAAAACAUUUUCUGUGUUCGUGUAACUUAUUUCAUACUUUUUUUAUUUCAUACUUUUAGGACCAAAAAUGAAAAAAAAAAAAAACACUUUAGUUCAUGCUUUAGAAGCUUAUAAAAGCAGCUCAUAUCAAGCAUUAUAUUAACUUACUAUUAUUUCAAAUUUAAGCAUCACAUAGUUUGGUAUAUCAAUGCAUAAUACAUAUGAGGAAGACAAGCAAAAAAGAAUCAGGGAUUUCAAUUCUCAAUUGCUCCAGCCAGUUCAAGGCCAAGAAUGGCCCCAAAAUUUUUAAUUUUUAAUUUUUUUUUAAAAAAAGUGUGGUGGUUCAUUCAAGGUAUUAACACUUAAGGUGCGAUUGAUAAAACUGAAAUUUGAAAUUUGAAUCUAUUAAAUUAUUAAAUUGUUAAAUAUUAAAUUUAAUACAUUUAAGUACAUACAUAUUCAGUGAUAAGUGAAUAGUUUAUUACUUAAUUUUGAGAGCAAAUUUUGUCUAAGAAAAUUCAAUGUCACUUAAUUAAUUCAGAUGUUCAAUUUUUAGUUAUCAAACAGUUUGAAUAUAUUAAGAUCUGAUUCCAUUAAAUUUAAGUGCUGAAUUAGAUUAUCAAACAAUGCCUUAGUUGUAGCAUUCACCGUAAAAUAAUGUCCUAAAUUCACAUUUUGUGCAUCGUCUACCUACACUUAAAUGGCACAACUUGUAAGUUAGUCUAUGGACUCUUCCAUUUUGUGCUCUCGUCCUCCAAACACAAGUUUAAAAUAGAGAUGACUAAAAUGGCAGCACAAGAUAACAUUUUCAAGAUUAUCACUCGAAUCUUAAUGCACUUCCACAAAAAAAAAAAAAAAGGAAAAUUUAUAUUAUUUUAUUACAACUCGAAUAAACUUUUUGAUAAGUCUAGUAAUUAAUCUUUAACCAAUGAAAUACUACUGUCAAAUUAGACAAAUAAAUACGCCACAAUCUUAUUUAAAUUGUGCUUAAUGUGGAAUUAGCGAGCUCCACAAUAGACCCCCAUAAAAUUUCUCAUACAAAACUCACCUUUAAAUCUUAAUCCUAUCUUAACCAAAUAUUCCCCUAAGAAUUGUUUGGGUUGAGCUUCAGCAGCCGAAGUCGUCGAGUUAGAGGACUAGUUUGAGGCGGGAGCGAUGAAGAAGGCCUGCGGGCAAACGCCACUGAACCACUCGUGUGGAAUGAGUAAUGACGCGCGAGAUGAGAGACACAGGAGAUUGAGACAGGGAUACACGCGUGGCGCGAAGUUGUGAAGUUGAUUUGGGGACUUCUGAUCUAUGUUUUCAGAACCGGACCGGAUAGCGACUCGGCCGAGGUCAGGGGUCAGGGGUCAAUGGGUUCGACCGGGGGUCGAUAGGGGUCGAACCGGAUGACGUCAUAAAUAAAUUAUUUUAAAAUUAAAAUGUUAUAUAUAAUAUCUAAUAUAUAUUGAUUUAAUAAAGGCAUAUUCAUAUAUAUUUGAUGUUUCAAAUAUAUUUAACAAGAAAAUACAAAGAAAUUAGAACAAUCAAGUAGCAAUUUAUAUUAUUUAAUAAAUAUUAACAAGUUUAGAAUUAAAAUUAUGAAUUUAAUUGAAAAAUAACAUCAAAUUUUAGGACAAUAUUUAUAAAGUAUCAAAUAUUUGAGGUAUAUCAAUAAGUUUUAACAAUUUAGGGGUCAAAACAUAAUAUUAAAAAGUUUGAAUUUUUUUUUUAAAAAAAUACUGUUGAACCGGAAAAACCGGUUUUUUCCCGGUCAAACCCGGUCAAACCCGGUUUUUGACCGGCUUUGACCGGGUUUUAAAUUUCCGGUUUUCUAAUGUGACUCGGACCGGCUACCUGGCCGGUUCCCGGUUCAACCGGUUCGACCGGCCGGUCCGGUCCGAGUUUGAAAACAGAGCUUCUGAUUGGACAGUGGGUCCCAAAUGAGUUCCCUUGAGAACGCACUCGAAGCAACUGGGACGUUUUUGACGACGACUCGUGAAUCACUCGUAUCCUAUCAACAUCCAUCCCUCCAACGGGCAAAGUGAGUUAGGGAGGGGUUGUGGAGUAGAGGGGUGAGCCAUACUUCCGGUGGGACGGGGAAGGGGCCUCUCUUCCUCUUAUGGAAUUGCAUAAUUGAUGGUCCAAACUUGGGUGAAUUUGUAAUUGUACGUAUGGAUAUAUUGUGAGACACAAAUUUUAAUGAGUGAAAAAUUCUACUUUGUCUUUGUUUUUUUUUUUUUUUUUAAGUGCAAGUGAGGGCCUUGCAUCAAGAACUUUUAUUUAUGCUCUCUUUUUUCGUACCAUCAAAUUUAUCUCUCCCUCCAUGUGGUUUGCUUGGUAUUGCUUAACUGUGUGCAUUUAUAAUGUUAAUACUUAUAUUGUAUGGUGUGACGGACAAUUGGUGAUUGCAGAGUCCUUGAAUCUAGAGUUGCAAAUGAAUCGAACUCAAUCGAAUAGCUUGUAAACUUGUUCGGUCAAAAUUUGAGCUCAAACUUACGUUGAUUGAGUUCGAAGUCAAGUUCAAGCCACUUGACGAGUUGAGUUCAAGUCUAAUGUGUGAAGUUUGAAAACUCGUUGAGUUUGAUCGGGCAAAGUCAUGCUUCACACACACACACACACACACACACAUAUUUUAAUUUUUUAUUUGUUAAUAUGAAAUGUCUAUUUUAUCCCCUAUUUAACAUUAUAUAAAAUAUAAAUUUAUGUUUCCAAUUAGGCUCGAUUUGCAUGAGUUUGAGUUCAAAUUUGAGUAAAGUAAAACAAAAUCAAACUCGAGUUCGAACUUGAAUAAGGCAAAAUAAAAUUGAACUCAAAUUCGAACUUGACACUCAAGAGUUCGAGGCCGAGUUCAAAUCCACGUUUUUUUUAAUUAGAAUUAAACUUGAGCAGUGCACUACUCGAAUCAGACUUAACUUGAUUGCACCCUUAUCCGAAUCUUCACUUGGUACCAGUUUCGAUCCCUUCUUGCUUAAUACCAAAUAAACUACUUAAAAAGUUCAAAUUUGAAAAAGAAAAUGAUAGUGUUUCUCAGACAUGUGAUAUUAAAAGGGUGAUUAAAAGCAAAAUCUGUUGGAUUGGAAAUAGGGUUAACUUUUAUUUUUAGUGAAAUUGCCAAAUUGGCAAUCUUGAGUUUUGAUCAAGUAUGUACCACACAAACACCAUCACACACUUGUUUAGAAUAUAAACAACCAGAUACAGUAUGUUUCGUUUCAUAUUAAAAAGGAAGAAGAUUCGAAUCCUUGACUCUUUGAGGUGCCAAAGCAAUUUAAUAAGUUCGGACCGGGAAAAUUGAAAUAUUAGGUUUGUUUGGAUAAAUGAUUAUUUGCAAAAUAAAUUUAGAUUUGUGUCAUAAAUAUAUUUUAAAAUUAUCAUUUAUCUUUCAAAUGAGCCUUUUGUCACAAAAAAUAUUACCGUAUAAUUUUAAAACUUUUUUUUUUUCCAAAUAACCUACUAACCAAUCACAAUGAUUCUUGGACUGCACCCUUUUUUUUUCGCUUGCUUCAAGUGUCUUAUUCCAUUUUCCCCUCAUCUCGAGCUCGAUAACUAUCUUCCAAAUGAGCCUUCAUUUGUCUAUAUAAUCACAAUUGAUCUUUACAAGCCACCCGAUAUUUUUAUGACAAUAUUAUAGACUUGACUCUUAUUUAUAAGUCACAAGAUCAGUUUUAACUCAUAUAUGAAUGUCAUACUAUUAUUUAUCACUUAAGAUCAUACCCUUUGUCUCUAAAAACCAUGCCUAUUAUUACUAUCACCAGUUUAUGUCAUAAAAAGCAAACUUUUCGUGACUUACAGCAAUCCAACAAGUUAGGAAAGCUUAAAAUUUCUUGCAGUGUUAGAAAAAGAGUUCUUUGUAGACCUAUAAACUAAUUUUCUUUAUACAAAAUUUUCCAUAACUUCUCGCUGUUGCCACAACGUAAUUGUUUGAUCAAGUUGAAGUUUGCUGAAAUAGCUUUCUGGGCCACUUUUGCAUCACUUUCAUUAGUCAAAGAUUCGAAGUAAAAAAGGAAGGAAAUGUUCGGUUUGCACGAUGAUCAUUAACAAAUUGAUCAGUAUUCUACGAAUAUAUGUGACUAUAACAUAGAUAUGGUGCCAUCAAUAUUAAAUUUUGGUAAGCAAUGGUCCUAGGAGUGCCUUUGGGAAAUUGACCCCAAGGCCAAAAUUUCUGAAUACGGCCAUCAAUCAUCAUCAUCUGAAAUUCUCGUGAAUUAAUUUUAAUUUCCAGAAUAAAAGUUAGGAGUAAAUGUGAGAAAAAGUUUCGGAUACAGCUGGAUAUCACAUUUGGUUAUUGAAUUUAACCUACUUUUUUUUUUUUUUUGGGAUAAUUUCAGAAACCUACCCUGAGGUUUCUGACAGUCUCAGUCACCUCCCCUGAACUUUGCAAAAUAUCAGAUACCUCCCUUGUCAGAUUAUUGGGCCCUAUUUGUGAUAUCAUUGAUGAUGAAUUAACAGAUAUACCUUCAUAAUUUAUGAUAUAUUUUGAAGCUAUUUUGACAGAAUUAGUUAAAUGAGUAAUAGAGAUAUAACUUUUGAUAUAACUUAUAAUAUAUCUUCUAUUCCACUUUACACUUUUUAUUCGUAGUACAAUUACCAAUGAAGAGUUUAGCACUAGUGUUACUUUUCUCUAAAGUCAUGUAUUUCAUGUUUUUUUUUGUAAGACAAUUAUCCAGUGUAACUCAUUACUUAUAUUUGGGUAAAUUUGAUUUUUAAAAAUUCAAUGACGUAAAUUGUAUAUUACAUCAUCCCAUAAAGUGAUGCAACACAAUUUGAGUUAUUGAAUUUUUUGAAAAUCGGACUACUUAAGUUCUGGUAUUCAAAUGAAGCUUGUUGAAUAAAUUCGACUAAUUACAGUAUGAGUUGAAUUGCUCCAGGGCUUUUCUUUUCAAAAAGUCACUCGUGCAAUAAAAGUCACUCGUGAGUUGAAUCUAAUGCAAUUCACUGUAAUUUCUGGCUUAACUAUUUCCUUUUUUUUUUUUAAAGAGAAAUAAUAUGUACUUUGAAGUUUAUAGAAUUUAUUUUAGAAUUAAUAUUUCCUACAUUGACAGUGUAUAUAUUGUCAGCAUUGGAUAAAUAAUAAUUAUACAAAAUUUAAAUUUAAAAUUCAACUUUUACACAUAUGUCAUGAAUCAAACGAUGAUAAUAUAUACAUCGUAGUGUAUAUAAGAUUUAUUCUUUAUUUUAAUCACAUGACUCCCUUCUUUAGAUGCUCCAAAAAUUAUUAUAUUAUUAUCCCAAGGACAAGGGUGAAUUUGACAGGAAUCUCCAACCACUGACUCCAUGUAUGGUCCUGAUGCAAACCCUCGGCAUGAGCCAUGAGUGGCUAUCAUAUUUCCAAGUACAUGAAACGUCCCUCCCUACUUAGCACAUUUGGUUUCUGUAAAAUUAGUUGGGAUGUGCAGGUAUCCGUAUAUAAAAAUCAAUUUUUGCUUACCUAAUGCAAUUGCUUUCACUUUCACUUUCACGCAUGGUGGACCAUUAGAAUCUCAAAAGGGCUGCUAAAGGGCAGAUAAAAAACACGUAUAAGUUUUCGGAUUACAUAAAUGUACACACUCACUUCUCAUUGGACAAAAUGUUCAAUUCUUGUGUUUGUUUUUAUCUAUCUUUGUUUUUUUUUUCUUUUUCGCUUUGUUUCUUUUCAAAAGCAUGCCAUAUGAUCGAUUGGUGACCAAAUCUACUACUAACCCACACGAGAUCACUAUCAUUUGAGUAGUUCUAAGGCAUUAUGAAUGAUACAAGUCAUUUUGCGGCCGUAAUUUUUUUUAUACCCUUUCGUUCCUUUAUAUACCCUUUUUAUUUUCAAUUGUUAGACAUAAAAUUUCAACUCUGAAUUCGACAACGAGGAAAAGCUGUAAUCAAAGUAUAAAGAUAACCAGAAAGCUUUCAACUAUUUCUACUGUUUCUUAAACGUUUUUUUAAUGCUAUUGGUUUGGGGUUUUUGGGGUGGGGGGUGGGGUUGGGGACCUUGUAUGCCUUCUUGGGCAUAGGUAGAAGUUUUAAUCACUUAUUCGUCCUUAAAAAAAAAAGAAUAAAUCUUUUAUACACUGACAGUGUAUAUAUUAGCGGGUCUAGAUGUAUGCUACAUAUACAAAAUUUGAUGUUUGAAUUCAAAUUCAAAUGAUAUGAUAUUCAUCCAACUCCGUCAGUGUAUAUAUUGAUAGUGUAGGAAAGAUUAAUCCAUAAAUCAAGAUCUUUCAAUUCAGAUUUAAUUAUGCUAAAUACACCAAAAAGCUUCAUCCCUCCACUCGAGUAUUAAUUCAUCUUUUGUUUUUGUAUUAUAAUGCAGAAGUUGUUCAAAAAUUUGACUUUGAGCUUCAAAGGAAAUAUAUGCAGUUCGAAAUCAAAGGUUGUCAGCCGUUGUUGAUUAGAAUAGUUAAGCCGCAACAAUUUUGAAGUACUUGAACGUUCUCAUUACUUUAAUUAUAUUAUUCAUUCUUUAGAGUUUCUAGAUUUGCCCAGUGAUGUUUAUCUUAUCAUUAUCUGGGUUGAGUUGAAAUCUAAAUGUCGAUUCUGAUAAGAUUUGCUGCUUUUUUGUCUGAUUUACCUCAUAAUUUAUUCAUUUAUUCUUUCGUAAAUACAUGGAGACUUGCACAGAGCCGUGAACACAAGAGUAAUCAACAAGGUAAUUGAAAUUCUUUAAUAACUUUUCGUUAAUUUUGGCUAAUGAAUGUUCAGCCACACUCAUUAAUAGGGGUUGAAAAUUUGAAGUGUUUGUUUUUCCUUUGGAGAAACGUGAUAUUAAGUCGAAAUGUGACUAAAAAUGAAGUGAAAAUGCGUAGUUUGUUCAGAUGGUAAAUUAUGUGUGUUAGCCGGAGCCCUCCAGCCAAAUCUCUUUUUUUUGGGUUGUGGCGUUUGUAAGAGAAUGAGCAUAGCUUGUCUAAUAGUUCUUUCAAUCGUGAGGUAGGUUAUAAGGGUAACUGUUAGGAUUUCUUUUCUUUUUUUUUUUUCCACGUUUCCGGUAAAGGUACGAGACAUGCGCGCACACUCGCGCGCGCGCACACAUAUGUAUAGUCUUGAGAUAUGCAUAGUUUAUUCCUAUUCGACAAGACGUUGGUCAAAUAGUUAAGAUUCAAAUUGCAGGAGUUAGAAAUUUUGAAUUUAAAUUUUCCUUCUUUUUCUUUGCUUCUUAAAUCUAAGGGGUUAACAAAUAUGGAUAGUGAACAAAGCCCUUGUUAGUGCAAUCGUGGAAGAAAACAACCAAGAUGCAAGAAUUGGAACCACUGUGGAAGACAUUAUGAAGACGAGAGAAGAUUUUAGUAAAUGUUCCUUCUCUUUUGGGGUAGAGAGGGUAACUAUGUCAGUCAUGAUUGGGCAAAAUUUGCCUUAAAUUUAGUCACUGAAAUCCAGUGGAAGGACUCCUUUCCUGCUUGGUUAACUAGGUUAGCCAGGAGAGAUAUGGGGUAGUUGCUCCAAUUUUGUAAUUGGUAUUACUGUUUUCUCUUUGCAAUAUAGUGCUAUGUUAUCGUCUUGGAAAAAAACAAAAAACAAAGCCCUUUUUUUUUUUUUUUUUUCAAAAUAAGUGAAUUAUUGAGUUGUUGAGAAGAUAUGGUUAAGUGAGGGGUUCCACACCCUGCUCCCAUUAUACUAAGAAGCCCGGUCUCCUCGUGUGCUUUCUUUCCCAAUGUGUUUCUAUGCUUUUUAAUCCUACCCCACUAAUUUUUGCACUUUUGUUCCCUGUGUCACUGGAACAGUAGUAAAAUUUGAAAGAGUAAAUAUAUAAUACAUUGCUAGUAUAUACAUUAUUACUGUUUGAUUCAUUACAUGUGUUACAUAAUUGUUCUUCAUCCAAUAUUAAAAGUGUAUAUACUAUCAGUGUAUGAAAGAUUAAUCCAACUUCAAAACCAUCGUAUCUUCCUUCUCAAACGUGGAAAGUGAUGCGCAAUUUCCUGAUGUAAUCAGCCUCAAAUUUUUGUGUAUAUUGGGACCAUGGAAAAUAAAAACUGAAAAUGACUUUGUUAGGAAAUGAAUGAUGAAAAGCGAGUAAAAAUUUCUACGAGAAAGUGCUAGGUAUUGAACAAGGGGUUUGUCAAGUUGACCAGCUAUUGUGGUACCAAGAAAUAACCACCAAAAAAAAAAAAAAGAUGCUUUGAGCCAAACUUUUUGAAAAAAAUAAUUGAUUGGAAUCAUGUGGAUGUUUUGGAUACUUACUUUUCUUUUCCACUUUUUUGUCCUUUUUCUUCCUUUUCCCUUUCUCCAAUUAGAGUUAUGUAGGAUGCUCUAAUUAAUGAAUCAAUUGAUGGCCAAGUCAAUUCCAUUGAAUUGCUUUCUCCAAUUUGGUGAAUCACGAGGUUCCUUUUUCGUGCCAAUGAAAACAAAGUUUGUUGUGAAGAACGUUGUGGUGCCAUCGAUGCAGCCAAACCAAAAUUUUAGCAUUCAUGAUUCCGGAAAGCCGCUGUUUAUUUGCCCUAUCUUUCUUUUGUGGAAUCAGAGGCCUUGGUUUUUAAUGUCCCUUUAUUAGUUUCUAUUUAGAGUUGAAAGAAGAAUUAUACUUAUGCACGUAUAAAAAAUGUAAGUUGAAAUGACCUAAGUCUGCCUGUGGAUUGAGGCAUCUAAAGAGAGCAAAUUUUGUUAAAGGAAAUUAUGCUAAAGAAAUUGUGAAAUUUCUUUUUAGACGUGUCAUGCAUUCAAAUUUGAUACAUAAUGAAACAAUUAUAGCGAUGAAGAACAUAUUAAUCCAACUAUAUCUAGCUAAACAAAUCUAAAAGGAAUUUGAAAGUUUAUACUGAAUCCCGAGUGCCUAGUGAAGAUUUUAGUGAAAUUUUAUCAUCCACUCAUCAAAAUAUUAUCACAAUAAACUUAAAAAUUGUGUACCCUUGAAGGUGACCGGUCCUCAGUUAUAAAGCUCUUGCAAACUCACGAGGAAGAUUUGUCAAUUAUUGAUCCACUGGUUGAUGAUAUAUGCAUCUAGGAUUAGUGUUAUUGAUGUAGGAUUGCAAGAGAGUUUAAUAAGAUUGCUCAUGCAGCAUGAGAAGCAGAAUAAGUAAAUGGAAAUGACAGUACUUCAAAUUUGCAAAAAAAAAUCCUCUUCUCAGUUUUCAAAAUCUAGGUGAAGCCAACUCUAUCAAAAUACUUAACAAGCACUCAGCUUCUCAAGCUUCGUACAACUGCAUAGCAUAAAACUCCUCUAGCUCACUGUUGGAAUCCGCCAACAAGUUUGCUGCUGGCUCAACAGAAAACAGAGAAGAUUCCUGGCAACCAAAACCAAAUUUAAAGUUCUGUUUUUUGCUACUUAAAUUUCAUCUAGACAGAAAGAUAAAAUUCUUUUCACCACAUUUCUAACAAUCUCCAUAUAUCAAGACAAUCAACAAAACAAAAAUUUGCAGUCAGGCUCAGAAUUGUGAAGUGUGAAUGGACAGGGAAGGGUUGAUACUGCAAAAGUCAACUCUAAUCUACUAGCAUAUUUCCUUGUGAAGCUAAACAGAACUUACAAACAAACAUCAGAAAAUCCUUUUCAUUUUAAAUCAUCAAUUUCAACGCAAUAAUUAAAAGCUUAAACAAAAGAUAAAUGCACUUAGCCUUCCUGCCUAACUUACUACCAGAUGAUACAAUACAAGCAUGAAAUGAUACCCUAAGCUCACACAGAUUGUUCUUUCACUCCCAUGCGGUACAAAAUAUUCAAUGGUGUGACAUUUUCCUCUAGAAUAUGCUUUAAGGAUAACCAAAAUAAUUCAAUGGCUCAGAAGGUGACUUUCCAACAAAAAAUUUCUGGAACUUCUUGUUGUGAUGAUCAUAAAAAUACAGCUUACCUAAACAUGAAGGUUAGUAAGUUUAGCAACUAAAGAUGCAAAGUCAAUACUCAGUCUUUCUCUAUCUUCUUCAUCUUCAGAAGCUGAAAUCAAAAGUAAAGUUCAAUAAGUGACUAAAAAAGUAAAAUACAAGAUCAUGUGCACAAAAAGGUUAAGUAUAACAUACCUGUUACUCCAUAUAACAAGUCCCUAGUACAUAACAAGACCUCCACAUUUUCUGGUAGGAGCGAAGUAUGAAAUUUACCCACAAUUCUACCACCAAUACUGAAAGCUGAUUCCGAGGCCACUGUAGUGAUAGGAAUACUUAAAAUAUCCCGUGCCAUCAAAGAAAGAAUAGGGUACCGAUUUUUGUUUUCUUUCCAAAAAUUGAGAACAUCCAAUUCUUGAGUUGAAAGGAGUCGCGUAUCAUCCAAAUAAGAGUCUACUUGUGACUUAUUCCUCUUGUUUGCAUGUUGUUGAUUCUCAAAUUCAGCAAAAUCAUCAUUGUCAUUGCCCAAAUCACCACUAGAGCAGCCUGCUAUUGAUCCAUCUAGCAAAUCACCAUCAAAAGUAUUCUCAUACUUCUCAAAUAGUAAAUAAAAUUUAUCCCGAACUUCCUUAGCACGUUCUUCAUAAUCAAAAGGAUACAACUUCUUAAAAGCAUACACCACAUAAUCCAUUUUGAAGCGCGGAUCCAAAAUAAUAGCAAAACUCAAAACCAAGCUAUAACAUUCCCAGUACUUCUCAAAUUUCAGUUUCAUUUGCUUGGCCAUUUCACUCACUUCAAUGUCUAAAUUAUUGACCUCUUCCAUGAUAACUUUUUGAAUUUUCCAGACACCAUGAAAAUACAAAUUUGCAAUUGGAUAGUUAGUCCCCGAAAAAAGGGUGGUUAGGUCAUAAAAAGGCCUCAGCAGUGUUGUAAAUUUCUGUACCCUAAGCCAUUCUUCUUCAGUUGGGUAAAAUCUGCUGAAGCUGCGAUCAACCACGUGCAACUGAUGAAAGGCAAGCUUAUAUUCAAGUGCACUAUCCAGCAUCACAAAUGUAGAGUUCCAUUUGGUUGGGACAUUUUGAUGCACCCUCUUAUUGCAUGGCAAAGAAACUUGAACAAUACACUCUGCAAAUUUCAACUUUCUUGAUUCACUAGCUCUGAUAUAUUUCACACAGUCUCGGAUCUUUGAUACUGGUUUGGAAAUAACUUUGACACCAUCUUGGACAAUCAAAUUUAGCACAUGUGCACUGCAUCUUACAUGAAAAAAUUCACUCUCACAAAAUAGUGUAUUUCUUAGCCUCAAAUGUUGCUUCAACAGAUUCACCAUACCAUCAUUGUAAGAUGCGUUAUCCAAUGUGAUAGUAAAAACUUUUUUUCAACAGCCCAAUCUCUCAAUAAAUCUAUGACUUUUACAACAAAUAUUGGACCACCAUGUGGUGGUGGCAUGUGGUGAAAAUUUAGAACCCUCUUUUGUAAAAUCCAAUCUUCAUCCACGAAAUGAGCCGUCAAUGCCAAAUACCCAUCUGUUGCAAUAAAUGUCCACAAGUCUGCAGUAAGGCAAAUUCGACUUGUAAUUGAAUUUAAUUCUGUCUUUACUCUCUCUUUUUCCCUUUUGUACAUCUUUUCAAUAUCAGCCUUUAUCGUGUUUCUCGAAAUGGGUAAAGCAUUUGAAUUUAAGUAUACACACAAGUCUCGAAUUCCUUCUUGCUCCACCAGUCUAUAAGGAUGGUUAUGCUUCACAAUAGCAAUUCCCAUCUUUUCCCGAUAAAUUUCUUGGUCAAUUGGAGACUGUUCUUCAAAAUCAGAUUAUCUACGCUUAGUACAAUUUGAAAGAUGACGCCAUAAGUUGCUUGUUCCGGUUGUUCCACCACAUGCAUAAUCACGCUUGCACCAUUUACAUUGUGCUCUUUGUGAACCAUUUGGUUCAACAUACAAUAUAUCAAAUUCCUUCCAAAUCAGUGACGUGAGCUGUCUCGAACGCUUAGAAGAACGUUGGAUCAACUCAUUUAUAUUGGUAGGCUCAUGGCUUGUAUAAGAACAUUGUUCCUGAAUGUGCUCUGACAACUCAUUUGUUGGAUCAUGAUGGGAUAGCAUUUCUGUUAUCUAUACUACCAACUUUGUACACCUCAUCUGAUGUUUACCUGUCUAAGACUCUCAGCCUGAUAGGGUGCAUUUUAGUGGAAUAUUUUGAGCAAUAUUGCACAAUUGUUUGACUAAAUAUUGUAUUAAUUGGAUGGAUUCUACUUAGAUGUGAUUUUGGUAUUAAUUGCAGGAAUUGAUGUUAAAAAGUGCUUAAAAUCAAAAUUUAGAGGAUUCGUCAUACAUGAGGCACUUCAAACAGUGGGGUCCGCUUAAGAAGCUGAAGAAAUUAAAGUGUAAUAGAUUUUAUUUUAUUUAGAGAGUUCGAUUUUCGAAUACCAAUUUCGAUUAAGAGGAAAAGGACUCCCAUCAUUUUCGGCGGCUGCAAAUGUGAGAAGGAAUGAGACUCCCAGGGGCCCGCUAGGCUUGAGGGAGAUAUUUCGUUUGGCUUUGUAAAAGCCAUUAGGAGACAAAAAAGCCAUCAUUGUUGACUUUUGAACCACUUUGCAUUCGUGUAUUUGACGGAAUUGAAAAAAAAAAGCAAAAAAGGAAGAAAAACCCUUUCGUAUGCUUUGUAAAACUAUUAAGGGAAGAAAGCCAAAAGCUAGCCGCUAUUAUGGACUACUGGCUCUGGCUUUUUACUUUUGUUUUGAUGCAAUUGGGGGAAAACAAUCAGGAUCACUCACAUGUCUUGGAUUGGAAACAAUUGAAGGAAACAAAAGUCCCUUGUUCGUGUCUUCUAUUGCUGACCGAAAUUGAGAAGUCCGAUUCGGCGACUUUUCCCAAUUCUCCACGCGCGGUUUGUUCUCUAAUUAUGGAGAACUAAAUCCCUAAUUCUAGUCAAGGGGGCAACUGACGAAUUGGUUCAACAAUUACUGUGAGAUCUAAACCUUUUUAAUUAUUUUCUUCAUUUAUUGAUAUUUAUAUGUUUCCUGUUUUUAAUUGUUAUAACUCUUGUGUAUGAUUGAUUAGUGCGCAAUAAUUAAUUAUUCAUAUAGGUUAUUUUGCUAAAUAGGGGUAAUUGAAUCCGUACUUGUUAGUAUAUCUCUAUCUCAGUAGCAACUGGCGUAAUUGGAUUUAUGUCAGGGAAACAUACAAUCUAAUUUAAACAAAGUCUCGCAGCGUGUUUACUAGUUAGGAUUGGUCCUUUUUAAUUAUUAAUGCAAUCUAGAAAUUAAAUCCUACAGUCGUACCUAGGGUUGUUUUUGGGUUAGAAAAAUAGUUAACGGUCGUACUUUAACUAUUGAGAAAUUAAGAAAAGGUUGGUUGUUUAUCGCAUGUAUGACAACUAUAACCAAUGUAUUAAUAAAUGUGAAAUUAUCUGUGAAUCGAUGAUCAGUGCAUGAACCAUUUCUGAAGUGUACCCUUGGCUAGAGUUCUCCCAAUCAUUUCUUUUAAUUAAUUAUUUUCUACAGUUAAUUUAUUUAGUUAGCAUUUAAUCGUGAAAACCCCAUUUGUCUUAACUCAAAAGGAAACAAAUUUCUCUCCAGUCUCUGAGAAGACGACCCUACUUGCCACUGUCUACUAGUUAGUGAAUUUAGUCAGAUAAUUAAUUCAGGUAUAUCAGAUUAAGUAAACUCUUCGGGAACAGGGUGAAUCAAGUAACUCAUUGCACACUUAAAGUUCCUGCUCCAGUACCUAAAAUUGAUUAUUGAUUACUUUUGGUGGUAGUUAAGUUUUAUUUAUUAUUAUUGCACAAGUUCGGCACCUGUCACAGCUUUACAUAUAGCUUGUCUUGCCCUGCCCUCUCAGACUUAAUUGUGCUGACUGCACUUGCCAGUUUCAAUGACUUGAUAGCCAAGCCCAAGUUUCAACAACUUCCAAUUUUCACCAUUUUAAAAAGUUCCUUGCCAUUUUGGUUUUUUAGCUUUUUGAGUCUUUCUAAUGGGAGGACCUUACAAUAGUGAUGCUGCUGCAUUCAGUGCAUCAGUAUCAGCAUCCUGCCAAGGUUGCUAGAACCAAUUUAAGCCUAAUCAUGCAAACAAUUUGAUGGAACCAAGACAUGGAAAAAAGGAGGAGGUUAGCUCUGAAAAAGUUAUAAAAGUUAAGGCCACAAAACUGGUGAUAACUGAUAAAUUGUGUAUUCUUAGAUAUCAAGGUUAAUGCAGUGUAUGUUUAUAACCUCAAUUGAAUGCAAAAAUAUUCAAGUUAAAUAAACAAUUGCUUGCCUCUUAAUAAGCUAACUGACGAAAGAAUCUCAAGUUUUAGAGUCAAGUAGGUGAGCUGAAGAGGAAACGACUAGUAAUUAAAUCAAUCGACUCCAACUUCAUCUAGCAAAUAAGAAACUAACCUUGACUAAGUUUUUACAAGUUUUGACAGUCUUGAAGUCCAAUACACAGAAAUAAAUCAGUUAAUCUUAACUAACUUUUGAUUUCCUUAUAUCAAGAGCAAAAACUUCAAGAAUGCUUCAUUACGAAGGCGCAGGAAAAUUUUAAAGGAGUGGAGAAGUUGAAGAAUAAUCUCACCUCGACUGCCAACAUCAUAUGGAGCAAGAGUUCUAUUUUUGGGCCCAAAUUUGUAGCCACCUUCAAGAACCAUCACAUCCAACGCUUGAAAUCGAAUCAUGAAGCAUCAUGAAUUUGAAACGUAGAUGGUUAGUUUGGCAGUAGUCGUGGUUGUGCUAUGGGUACCUAUUUGUAGAGGUGGUGAGUGUGACGGCCCCACCUCCCCCUAGGGCGUACCCCAGGGUUCGGCGGGUCGCCUGUCCAUCUCUCGCCAGGACUCAUUCACUCAUAAUUCAAGAAAAAAUUAACGUACAUCCAUAAAAAUGAAUAACACAUUCACUUCAAUUUAAUAUAUACAUUGAUGCUCAAAUCCAGAUACAAACCUUUUACACACCAAACUAUUUCAAAAUAUUUACAAUUCGAGUACAAUCAACCCUAGUCGAGUGCUAGUGCGAGUACUAUUUCAAAAUUUCAAAACUAGACUACUCUGUACCAGUCUCACGCCUCGCUCGUACCCCCUGUAAGGAAAACAAAUAGCAUGGAAUGAGUUAAAAGUCCCGUGAGAUUUCAAAUAACAAGUUGACCAAUAUUGAAAAGUACAGCUAUCACGUAACAAAAUAGCGAGUAUAACAAGUUCAUGAAAGUGAACAAUAACACUUCAAAUAGCAAAUGUCAAAAUGAGCGAGUGAAAACUCUUUUUGUUUUCCAAAAGAACAAUAAUACUUCGAAUAACAAUCAAUAUAUAAGGAUAUAGAUGGUUCUCAGGAGCCAAAUUCUCAUUUCUUCACCAGAGUUUGAUCAAGUAUUAGUUGACACUUCGUCAACUUUCAAGUAAAGUAACUAGUUCAGUACUACACCACUUAACUUCAAUCUCCGUCCACCAACCAAACCCCUUACCGGGCCCGAACUCCACAAUAAACACUGGUGGUAAUACUCGAGUAUACCGAUUAGUUAAGAAGAUAACACUCCACUCGACAAUACUAGAUACCCAUGGUUCGUUAUCUAAUCGACCAACCCCUUGCCGGCUCGACUCGAUUAACUAGCCAGUAGGGUUUGGGUCCCUAAGAAAUCGAUGAGAUAAUAUCUCCAAUCGACGGAAUCAAGAUAAAAGUAUGGAGACGGGAAUGAAAGGCACCCCCCACUCACAUUAAGUGUGGUACAUGCUGCCGCUCAGUACUUACAAGUCAAGUACAAGUAUAUCAAAUCAAUUGCAACAAUAAACAAAUAUAUAUCAUAUUAGGGCAAGUGUGAUAAAGUACGCUCUUGCUUGAUCAAAUAAAUUACAUAUCAUUAAAUCACAUUGAUCAAAUAUUGAAAAUAAGUGUCCAGUUCAAUCAAGUAGUUGGAAGCACUCACAAAAGGUUUAGUGCCUCUCAAAAGUCACGUUCAGGUCCAACUCCUUGGUUGGAAUCCAAAUUUGUGAUAAAAUAUCAUUUACGAAUGUAAAAUUCUCUAGAGUUCGAAACAUAGGAGUUUCGUUUUAAGAAAAUCAAGUAAAUGCAACUCGUUUAAAUAGUAUUCAAGAUACUUAUUAAAUUUCAAAAAUUCAUGCUCGCUCGUUUAGUUAUGAUCAAGAAGUGGUUUCGACUUUAGAAAUUACACUUGGUAUCAAAGACCGAAAAAAUUGUAUUUUGAAAGGGUUGCUACAUUCACUUUUCAAUGGUACGAGUUCCUGCAAAAUUUUAGCUUAUAUAUCCUGACUACAGAAAACUCGAAUGCCAAAAGCGAUUCAAGUCCAACUUGACCUCAAAUCGUUGCUUAAGUCGCAUGUACAUAUGCCUAACUCUCGAGUGAAAAUUUGGACAGCACGCCCUUUGCGUUUACUUAUUUACCAAUCAUUUAUGGCUUCAUUAUUUUUCUCAAUCAGCCCCAAAAUCACACACAAAUAAUGUUACCACCAUAGCCCUUCAAUUAUGCUCCAAAAUAAUUCAAUCACAACACAAGUUUUAACAAGACAACCGGAAAUCAAGUUUAAAGGCAAAUACCUAAAUGACAGAUUUGAUAUCUUUUAGUGUAUCGGUCAUAACCGAAAUUACACUUAUCGAAUUGGGAUAAAAUUUAUACCGUUUCGAAGCUAAGACUAAGGGAUACAACUUUGAUGAAGACAACUCAACCCAAUUCACAGUUUAUUUAGGUCGAAUCUACAAAUUAUAGAACCAGAAAUUCAUGACCAGGAGGGUUGUCAGUACUGAAUUCAAACGGCAAUAACUCAGGCUACACAAUUCCAUUUGAUGUGUUUUUGGUUGUGUUGGAAAGAUAAAACAUAUGGCUAAAACUUUCAUGUUUUGGCCAAAGGCUGAUUUGAAACGGAUCAAGGUGAAAAAAUGCAGUCAGAAUGAUGAAAUAUCAAAACUGUCCCAAAACUAUACCUAUGGCAGUCAAGGGUAUUUUUGUCAUUUCAUGUGCUACAGUGCUCGAAUUGAACUGAAAUUUUACACGCAGCUAUAAAAACAUCAUUUUUCACAACUUUCAUGUUUUGAGCUAAACUAAUUCGAUUUCGAUCAUGGCCGAAUGAAACUGGUCAGAACAGGGUAGUACAAAAACUUAAAACUGGAAUUAAUGCAUUCAAGUGAUAAUUUUCUUAUUCAUGUAUAAAACUACUACUACCACUCCCUAUCUAAAUUUAUUCAUAUCAUAUUCUAGAUAAAUAACACUAAUAAAAAUAGAAAAUUACAAACCCUAGCUAAAACUUAUAAGUUAAUAUGCCAAACCAUGAAAUCUUCCAUACAAUUCACCACAAUCAAGUCAUGCUUUGUUUAAAUUGCAAAAUAAGAAAGAAACAAGGGAGGUUUCUAGUAUAAUACCUCAAAAUUUCCAAAAUAACUUGUGAUAUGAGAAUGGUCAAUUCGGCCCGGUGCUCCACCUCGGGACUACCUCCCUGAGGGUAGGCUCGUACACCUUCUUUGCCGAGAUAACCUCAACUUAUGUGCUCACCUCGGAAGUGAUCACCUCGGAAAGGUCUUCCCAUGUCGCCGAGAUGGUAUCCAGAGUCUGCCAACCAAAGAAGAGCAGGAAACGAUCUUUGACGCGCAUGAUGUCUGACAGAAGACUGCUCCAACACAGGCGCCGCCUGUGUCUGACAGUUGCUCUCGCACGUCAUUUCAGGGGCCAGCCAAAUUAUCUUGAUAUGCUGCCCGUAUUAGCUUUUUUAGGGAUCUGAACAUGCAGUCCCUCUCUCCUGUUCACCUUAUAAAUAUCAGGUACGCCUAUUGAGAAAAGGAGGACCAAUUUCUGGUAAGACAAGCAUACUGUUACCUCUUUGCUGUUCAAUACUCUGUAUUUUUUCAAGAUACUAACUUAAUCAUUGGAGUGAUCCCAGGAGAGGAGUCCCGCCAUUCACUUCGGACAACCGAACUUACUUCAUCUUCCCUGAGAGAGAGAGUUGAUCUCGGUCGGUUCUGCUACCCACCAGAAAUCACUUCCACAAUUGGCACCGUCUGUAGGAACCCGAGACAUCCAGAGAUGAAGUCCACGCGCUCUAGGAGCAGGAGGGUUCUCACCACUGGAGGUGAACAUAGUACCGCAGCUCAGCCGGAUAACGCUUCCGAAGGGCGUGAGUCCCCAGAAACUCAGCCCGCGAACGAAGAGGCCAUAGCUCGUAUGGCCGAGUUCGUAACCGAGAACCCUAAUAUCUUUGAGGAGUUAGGGAGAUACUUCAAGAGGCAGGGCAAGCAAAAAGCCGAGUCCUCGAAAAGAAAAUUAAAUGGGUCCCGUGAAGGCUCCUCCGAUGGGGAAUCCGAGGGGAGGCACUCCAUCAGGAGCGCCCCAAGGCGAGCAUCUUCUAAGGUUACUUCCCGGAUCGCCUCCGUUACGAGGGCUCUCACACGAAACCUAUCAGGAAGGCAAGGCGAGGAAGAACCCUGGCAUCUGGGAAAGCCAGGGGUGGACUAUAUAAGGGCCCCACCCUUCACGGAUGAAAUCAAAGAGGAAAGGCUUCCCCCAAACUUCAAGCUUCCCUCAAUAUCCUUAUACGACGGCCGAGGUGAUCCUGAAGACCAUAUUCACGCCUUCAUCUCGGCCUUCCGGUUAUAUUGCAUCCCCGACCCUGUAAUAUGUUGGGCUUUUCUAGUCUUCCUAUAGGGAACAGCUCGAAAAUGGUUCUGGAGUCUGGAACCUAGGAGCAUAUCCACCCUGGGGGAGUUGGUAGAAAGAUUUUUCCACCGAUUCGUAUCCUCUAAACCCACCACUAGGACCUCGGGUUAUCUGCUAAAUAUACAGCAGAACCCCGGAGAAUCACUUCGGUCCUAUGUGCAAAGAUUCCACGAGGAGAGCGUGCAAAUACCUGAUCCAAACGAGCAGGUUACGAUAGCCGCCUUCACCCAUGGACUCGUUGCCGCAGUAUUUAACACUGGGAUACAUAAAAAGUACCCUCGCACGCUCCAAGAACUAUGGUUAAAGGUCGAAAAAGGCAUACAAGCCGAGGACCUCAAUUGCAUGAAAAAGGAGGUUCAGGCGUCUCGUUCCGGAGCUGACUCCCGAAGAAAGAAAGACACCAGCCGAAGUGACGUAGGGACCCCUGGUACCUUCCAAAGCCCCAAUCGGAAUCGUCGAAGCGUAUUUGACAGGAUAGCCAAAGGAAAGCCAUCUAUUCCUGAGUCCGACCUAACCCCUCUGAACACCACUCGAUCAAAGGUACUCGUCGUAAUGGAGCAAAACAACCUUGGGCGUACCCCCCCAAAGAUGCACGGGAGCAGAGAUAAGAGAAAUUCCAACCUCUACUGUUUGUAUUACCGGGAUAUUGGACAUAAGACAGAGGACUGCAAUGACCUCAAAAGGGAAAUUGAAAACCUCAUAAAGUGGGGUCACCUGAAGCAGUUCAUCCGCCGAGAUGAAAAUCACCAACUCGGUGACUCAAGACGGGACAGCCGAAGUGACCCAAGACGGGGCUCAAAAAACAGCUGCCGACCCCCAGAGGAGUCUAGGGAGACAAAAAGGCCUCCUCGAGACGGGUACUCUGGUCAUGGAUUAGGGUAUGGACAGAACAUCGCCGGCGUCAUCAACACCAUUGCCGGAGGUCCGACGGGUGGAGACAGUCACAACUCCCGGAAGAGAACCUACAAACAAGCUAAAAUCGGCCAGGCAGAGCCGGGCUCGCGACUGUCCGAGGUGAUCUCUUACGGCCCUGGCGACCCCGUCCCUGCUGCAUCAAACAGCCAUGAAGCUCUGGUGAUCGAGGUGCUCACCAAUAACUACAUCGUCAAGAAAGUCUAUGUUGAUCCCGGGGGUUCGGUGGAUGUCAUGUACCUCCGGACCUUCGAAGAUCUGAAGCUGGCUAAGGAGCAGCUCACCCCUGUGAGGACUCCCUUAGUAGGAUUUGGGGGACAAGUGGUUCACCCCCGAGGGGAUGAUCACGCUGACGGUGACCGUGAGGCGUCAUCCUCGUUGUCGUACCAUCCCGGUCAAUUUCGUCGUAGUCAAGGCUGACUCCCCAUACAACCUACUUAUGGGUCGGCCCACACUCAAUGCUUUGCGUGCAGUAUACUCCACGUACCAUCUGAGUUUCAAGUUCUCCACCCCGGCCGAAAUAGCUGAGGUGAGUAGUGAUGUUUGCGUGGCGAGAGAAUGCUACCUCGCUACGCUGCAGGCCGCCUCUGCCUCAACCUCUAAGCUGACGCCAACGACUGAGAGGAGGUCCAACAUACUAUCAAUCGACUGCAUUGACCUCCAACAGUCCGACGAGCCGAAAAGGUUGGAGACUGGAGACGAGGUGGAAGAUAUCCCCCUACCCCUCUCCAAACCGGAUCAGACGAUCCGCAUUGGUAUUCGUUUGCCCCACUCUCUCAAGGGCCCAAUGGUGGACCUCCUCCGGACCUAUCAAGAUCUCUUCGCCUGGGGUGCUGAAGAAGUUCUGGGGGUGCCUCACCACCUCAUGGUGCAUGAGCUGAAUGUAGACCCCUAAGCUCGCCCAGUCAAACAGAAGAGAAGGCACUUCGUCCCUGAGCGUAGUAAAGCCGUGAGUGAAGAAGUGGACAAACUUCUACCUGCGAAAAUAAUCAGGGAAGUGCAGUAUCCGACCUGACUGUCUAACCCAGUCAUGGUCAAAAAAAGCAUGGGGUCUUGGCGAAUGUGCGUCGAUUUUACCGAUUUGAACAAGACUUGCCCCAAGAACUGCUAUCCACUGCCCAGGGUUGAUGUGCUAGUGGACUCGACAAUGGGUUAUGAGAUCCUCUGCUCUCUCGACGCCUUUAAAGGAUAUCACCAAAUCGGGAUGAACGAGGAAGAUCAAGAAAAAAUAGCUUUUUAUACAGAUCAGGGUGUCUAUUGUUACACCACCAUGCCCUUUGGGUUGAAAAAUGCCGGAACCACGUAUCAACGCCUGGUCAAUCGGAUUUUCAAGUCUCAGAUUGGCCGGAAUGUCGAAACCUACGUGGAUGAUAUCUUUCUUAAGAGCUUGAAGACCUCUACUUUCCUGUUCGACCUGAGAGAGGCCCUCGAGGUCCUCCGAGCCACCUGCAUGAUGCUCAACCCCAAAAAGUGUAUUUUUUGGGUCACAUCGGGAAAGUUCUUAGGGUAUCUCGUUUCACGACGAGGCAUAGAGGCCAAUCCGGACAAGGUUAAGGCGAUUCAGGAGAUGACCUCGCCUCGGUGCGUUUGGGACGUACAAAGGCUUACCGGGCGACUGGCCGCUCUGAAUCGAUUCUUGUCGCAGUCCGCAGCCAAAGCACUCCCGUUCUUCAAGGUAUUAAAGAAGGCAGAUAAGUUCUCCUGGAUUGAAGAAUGUCAACAGGCUUUCGAACAACUAAAGGAGUACCUCCACCAUUUCCCCACACUCACUUCACCUCGCCAAGGGGACAGGCUCUAUCUAUACCUGUCAGCUGCCGAAGAGGCUGUAAGUGCCGUACUGAUACGGGAAGAAGGCAUACAAAUGCCGGUGUACUACGUCAGCCAAGCUCUCCGGGGGCCCGAGACCAGGUAUACCCAAACAGAAAAGCUGAUGCUAGCCUUGAUUCAUGCGGCUCGUAGACUGAAGCCCUACUUCCUAGCCCAUCACAUCUGUCUUAGGACAGAUCAGCCUCUUAGGCAAGUAGUAUCAAGGCCUGAGGCCUCUGGUCGUCUCAUCAAGUGGGCCAUUGAACUAGGAGAAUAUGAUUUGUCCUAUGAGCCCCGAACGGCCAUCAAAGCUCAAGCCCUUGCAGACUUUCUGGCUGAGCUCACCUUUAAUGAAGUGAAUGAGCCCACUUCGGAUAUCAAUGAGCCCCAACGGUGGAUCUUGCAUGUAGACGGCUCAUCCAAUAGUGAAGGCAGUGGAGCCGGGUUGCUCUUUGAAGACCCUCGAGGAGAGAUGUGUUCAUACGCACUCCGGUUCGACUUUGCUGCCUCUAACAAUGAGGCUGAAUAUGAGGCAGUUAUUGCUGGACUACAACUGGCUCGCAAGCUAGGAGCUCGGCAUGUUCUUGUUAAUAGUGACUUCCAACUCUUCGUGUGUCAAAUAAUGGGUGAAUACGAAACUAGAGAGAAGGUCAUGCCGCGGUACGUUGCCAAAGUCCACCAGUUAACAGCACAUUUCGAGUCUUUUGAAAUCCAAAAAAUACCCCGGUCACAGAACAAGCGGGCUGAUGCCCUGUCCCGCCUCGCAUCCACGUCUUUCUCCGACUUGAACAAGACGGUUCUCGUCGAAGUCCUGACUGAACCAAGUUACGUAGAGGACGGGGUGUAUCCCGUUUAUCCGGGGAACACCUGGAUGGGCCAGUUGAUUCCGUACCUCGGUCAAGGAGAACUCCCAGAAAACCGUGCCGAGGCGAGAAAGCUACAGCGUAAAGCACCCAAGUACGUUCUCUGGCAAAACCUCCUGUACAAAAAGUUGUACCUCGGCCCGUGGCUGCGAUGCGUAACCCAAGAAGAAGGGGAAAGAAUUCUUCAAGACAUUCACCGGGGACUCUGCGGUGCCCACCUCGGCUACCGAAUGUUGGUCAAGAAGGCCCUUUUGCUCGGAUAUUUCUGGCCCACUAUUCGCCGUGACACCCAGUCCAUGGUCCUCAGCUGCCCCUCUUGCCAACAUCAUGCUCCCGAGUAUCACCAACCCACUAACCCUAUGGUUUCUGUCACCUCGCCAUGGCCAUUUGAAUAAUGGGGGACGGACAUAAUUGGCCCAUUCUCCAGAGUCUCGGGCAAUCACGCAUACCUCGUGGUGGCGGUAGAUUAUUUCACCAAAUGGGUCGAGGCCGAACCCUUGAGAAGCAUAACGGGUUUAGCAAUCCAGAAGUUCUUUUGAAAAAACGUGAUUUGCCGUUUUGGAUUACCGCAUGUGAUCAUCUCUGAUAACAGCAAUCAAUUCGCAAACAACCCCUUCAAGAGAUGGUGUGAGAACCUCGACAUCAAGCAGCACUUCACUUCGGUGGGGCACCCCCAGGCCAACGGGCAGGCCGAGAACUUCAAUCGCACUCUUCUUUACGGCCUUAAGACCAGGCUGCAUUAGACAGGAUCGUCUUGGUUGGAAGAACUCCCCAGUGUGCUAUGGUCAUAUCGGAUUAUUCCGAGAUCCGCAACACAGGAAACUCCAUUCUCGUUAACUUACGGAUCCGAGACUGUAGCCGAGUUCAUCACACCAAGCCCACGAAUGGCAGCCUAUACUGCCGAGGUGAAUGAAGAAGAGAGGCGAGUAGACCUCGAUCUCGCCGAGGAGAAUCGCGACAUAGUCGCGGCUAAAGUAGCACUGUACAAGAAUACCUUGGCUAGCUAUUAUAACGCCCGAGUCAAACACUUGCGGUUCAGUCCGGGAGACCUUGUACUCCGGAAGAAUUCUAUAAGCCGAGCUGAACCUCAGGGUAAGUUGACUCCCAAAUGGGAGGGGCCAUACCGCUUUGUUUAAUCUAGCCAAAACGGAUAUUGCAAAUUAGCUUAUCGAGAUGGUUCUCCCGUGCCCCGAAAUUGGCACGCUGAAAACCUUAGAUUGUAUCACCCCUGAAGAGCAUGUAUUUGAAGAGUUAUUCAGCUUAUCUUUUAUUUUUUCCCUAGUAUUAUUUGGUGCUAAGCGAAAAAUAGGGGGACAGAGAAGGUAUAUUAGCCGAGCUCGAAUAUGAAAAGAGAAAUUGAAAAGGUAGACAACAGAAACUGAGUCAUUGCAUUAAAAGAUGGCAAACGACAAAAUUAAUUAAACAACACCGAGGUCAGGCGCACUUCGAAGCACCCAUCACCUCGGCGACAUGCUAGGUCCCGACAGCUCUAAGGCCAAGUAUACUAAGCGCCAAGCGCCUCCUGCCCCGGCAUCCUGAUUAUCUCCGGUCGCCUCGGCACCACCACCCUCAGCGUCGGAACCAUCACCCCCGCCGUUAAGCUCAGCCCCGUCCAGGUCGAAUUCCUUGAGCCACUGAUUGAAUUUAGCUCUUACCUCGGCUAGGUUCCUACCAGUCUGGAUGCCUUCGACUAUGCGAUCGCAUAGCUCCUUGGCGUUCUCGUUGAAAUUAGGUUUGUCUUGGAGGGAUUCCAGCUGAUCUGGGGUGAGAAAUAGGGCGGCAUCAUGAACGGCCGAGAUAUACCCGAACGUAAAGCUCGGAAGUGUAAGCUCGCCGAGGUCACUGAUAAAGGUUUUCGAUUUUCGGAAGGCUUCCAAGGCCGAGCUCCCUGCCUUCUCUAUGGCCUCCCGAGCUAACUGCUCCUCUUGGACCCUUCUAUCUUUCUCCUUUUCAAGAGCCGUCAUCAAGGAGUUCUUGGUAGCCUCAGCCUGCUCUUGCGCCGCCACGGUCUUAUCGCGCUCCUGUUUGGUCGCCUUCAACUUCUCCUCCAGCUCGGCGAUCUUCUUUUCCAGCUCGGAAGAGAGCUGGUAGCUUUCAACAAGCCUUGUAUAGCGCUGAGUCAGUUCGGCCAAAAAAGCCGUGGUAGAAGCCCAGGAGACAGAGGCGCUCUGCAUCAGUUCACCUGGGGUGAGCUUUCUGGCGUAAGCACUAUCCCUCGGCAAGACGGAGUGCAUCAAAAGCUCCUGAGCAACCAAUGGAUUAUUACAGCGGUCGUUGACGUUGAGAUCCCACUCCGGACACCAGUGCGCGCCGGGGUGCCUUUUAUCCUCCCCGACUUCCUGAGAAGGCACGUUGUGAAGGUUGAAUAGGGAUGACCCUGUCACAGGGAUCUCAGAAAAGGGAGUCACACCUCUGCCCCGGGGUGGGGAAGCUAUCGUUACCCCUCUGAUCGGUAUCCCGACUGGAACAGCCGAGGUGCAAGAGCCCUCCCCAGUCAUUAUCACGGGCGAACCUCGGCUUGCUGUGGCCGUAGUGGUCGGAGCUGGGGUCAUCUUAUUCGUCGGUCUGGUAGACAGUUCGGCCGUGUCCUUGCGUUUGGUCUGCCUCUUGGCUACGCCGGAUGUACCCGAAGUGAUCAAGUCGGAAACUUUCACCACUGCGAAGUAUAAAAGUAGAGUUAGUUAGAAUCAAAGAAGAACAAAGACAAAGUAGGGAACGAAAAAAAUACAAUGUCUUUCAAACCUAGUGGAAUAGAAGGGCGGAUGGUCCGGGCUGAUGAGGGCUCGGCUAAUCCCUCCGUCGAUGAGGACGGCCUCGGAAAAAUCCCAACAAUUUAUCAUGAGACCCGACUCCGUUAGCUUCCUGAAAUUCCUUUCUUCCAGGUUGCCCGGAGAGGUUUCCUUGAUCGGGGUGGGAGGCCUCCACCAGAAUCCCCUGGGGAAAUCAUCGGCCGAGACGAAUAUGAAGUUCCUCUUCCACUCCUUUAUUAAAGAGGGAGCAUCCACUACCAACUUCGGACCCUUGUUUCCGAAAUAAAAUCAUCCCUUUUCACUUCCACUGUUUUUGAUCGAGUAGCAGCGGCGGAAGAGGUUGACGGUAGGAGCUAUCUCUUGAUGUUGGCACAGCAGCUGGAAGCCGACCAGGACCCAGAUUGCGUUGGGAGUGAGUUGAGUGAUCCUCACCUCCCAAUACCUCAAGCAAUCCCUGAGAAACCUUGUGGUCGGCACUCUGAGCCCGGCUUCCAACUGAUCGGCGUAUAUGGCCACUCUAUCCCGAGGGGGGGAGUUCGGCUGACUGCUUUGGUCGAGGAGGAUAAAUACUGUAGUCCCUCCUCCAGGGAUACUUACAAACUAGCUCGGCAGUCCGAGUCUGGCCCAUGAUACUGCUGAACAUGGGGACUUGGCCGUAGUUAAUCACUGCCAGGUCCAGUGGGGUCGCUGGCUCCUGCACACCUUCGUCCCUAGGGAUCUCGUUGCCGAGGUCAUCGUUGUAUAGAAUCUCGGCUUCGACCUCGGUCUCCUCGCUUUGCCCCUGGGGCGUAUCAGUUCGGUAAGACGCUUCACCACUCCCUUCCCAGGCUCCGGAAGCAGCUCCCUCUCCCGAAGGGUCGGGCCUCUCCGCCUCAGUGAAACUUGGUCGCACCGUCUCCUUGUGUGUGCGUUCAGUUCUAGCCAUAAAUAAAAGAGGUGAAACUUACUCGAGAGGGAAGUUGGAACGCCUGGGAAUUGCCGAAGUGAAAAACUAAAGACGAUUCUAUCUGGGGUGGUUGCGAACUUUUUCGGUGAAAAAUGAAAUGGUGAAAAUGACCCCCUAUUUAUAAGCCAACGAGGGGAGACUGCGGCACCUUUGGGGUUUUCUAGGAGGCACAUUCUCUCCUCAUUAAUGAGGGUGCUGUUCAUCUGACUACUGAUUUCACGACUAUCCAUGGAUCUGUCAUUAAAGCUGACAGCCAUCGCUUCAUCUCCCUUCCAGUCCCAUCCACUCUUGCCUGACGUGUCCCACGUUCCAGACAUGCUUGUCAGCCUCGGAAAGCAGUGACCUCAUCUUUCCCGAAGCUUGGGGGGCUUAGUGAGGAUGGUCAAUUCGGCCUGGUGCUCCAUCUCGGGACUACCUCCCUGAGGGUAGGCUUGUACACCUUCUUUGCCGAGAUAACCUCAACUUAUGUGCUCACCUCGGAAGUGAUCACCUCGGAAAGGUCUUCCCAUGUCGCUGAGGUGGUAUCCAGAGUCUGCCAACCAAAGAAGAGCAGAAACGAUCUCUGACACGCUUGAUGUCUGACAGAAGACUGCUCCGACACAGGCGCCGCCUGUGUCUGACAGUUGCUCUCGCACGCCUUUUCAGGGGCCAGCCAGAUUAUCUUGAUAUGCUGCCCGUAUUAGCUUUUUUAGGGACCUGAACCUGCAGUCCCUCUCUCCUGUUCGCCUUAUAAAUAUCAGGUACGCCCACUGAGAAAAGGAGGGCCAAUUUCUGGUAAGACAAGCAUACUGUCACCUUUCUGCUGUUCAAUACUCUGUAUUUGUCCAAGAUACUAACUUAAUCAUCGGAGUGAUCUUAGGGGAGGAGCCCCGCCAUUCACUUCGGACAACCGAACUUAUCUCAUCUUUUCUGAGAGAGAGAGUUGAUCUCGGUCGGUUCUGCUACCCACCAGAAAUCACCUCCACACUCACCUCUAAGCUUUCCCAACAAUUGAUCGGAGUAGAAUCAAGUUUUACGGUAAUUUUCUCAAGAAUCAAGCAAGCUCUCAAGUUGGAAAAAUGAAAAAUUUUCUCUCAUCUCUUUUUCGUCUCCUAAGUCACGACCAAGCAUGAAAAAAAUAAGGUGUUUUUGGUUCUAUUUUACAAGAUGAAGACCAGGGAUAGUCUUGGUCAAAGGUCUUGGUUGGAUUUUUGACAAAUGGCUUAAUCACAAAUAUUUUCACCAAAAUAUCUCUAUUUUCUUAGUCAAUAAUGGUGGCUGACUUAAGGGUUAAUUAAGAGCUAAUUAGCUCAACUAAAACAAGGAGAUUAAGGUAAUAAAGUAGUAUUCAAGUGAUGCACUUAAUCGAUAACGAGCGGUAUAUAUCGAUUCAACCCGUUUUUCCUUAUUUCGCAUGUACUAGGGUUUUCACUUACAAUUCAGUAACUUAUUAUUAUUACUUCUAAUUAUACACUUAAUAUCAUCUAAAACUCACUCUAAAUCACUAAAUUUGACACACACUCCGUACCGAAUAAUUACAUUAUGAAAAGAUGAAAAAACCCUAGUUUACCUUAACGAUGAAAAUAAAGGGAAAACCCUUGCUUCUAUGAUUAAUUGUAACUAUUGAGGAAGUGAAUGAGUAGUAAAGUUAUUGUAAAAUUUACAUAACUUGGCUUGUUAAAAAAACUAGACUUCAAAUAUUAAGAAUCUUUAGCAGACACCUCAAAGAGAUUUAGUUCAUAAGUUGGUCCAAAUUGAGCCAUAAGCUAUUACAACAUUCCUAUGUUUAAUUAUGCAUGGUAGAAUUUUUAGUCAAUUUUGCCAAUUUCCUAGAAUUUAUAGACAUUGAAUCAAACUUUGAAUUUUACACCGUAGGAAGCCCUCUGAGUCUAGUUUCAAACGCAACAAACGGAACUCAAUUCCGACUUUCCUAUACGAAGUUAUAGCCAAUUUCCCAAAACUGCGCAGAGCUUUCUAUGAAAAUUUCUAGAUUUUCUGACAAUUUGAAAUUAUGAAACAUUUUUUAACAAAAUUCACUCUCUUGACUCAAAUUCAACCAUUAAAGCAACCAAGAAUCAAAGGCAAGUGAGUUCACAUAAGGGUUAUAAAAACAAGUGAAUUUUCGGGGUCUCACAGUGAGCAGCGGCCAGACUCUUAACAUUCUCCGAAAAAAUCUUCAAGACACCGUCGGUUUAUUCAUAGAUCAGCUCAGGAAUCGGACAUGGAAGGGGCAAAAACCUUCUAUUAUGCAGAGACGGGGAGAAGGGAGAGGGGAAUCAAACACUGGAGGAAAGGGGGAGCAGUGGGCUUGGUGGUGGGAAGGAGAAGAAGAUUGGUGGUGAAAACUGACAAUACAAAGAAAAUUGGGAAUGUAAGUUAAAUGGGUUAAUUGGGUUUGAUGGAUUACCCCAUUAUAUCCAUUUAAUAGGUAUAAUUGGAUAACCCAUUUAUACCCAUAUAUAAAAAUUUUAUAUACCCAUAUCCAAUUAUUAAUAGACGGGUAUGGGUAAAAUUAAUUAUAUGAGUUUAUUUGACACCUCUACUCAUGCUCUAGCUCAUUAUGAUGAAAUUGGCAAUUUAGUUGAUUUUCUAUGGAACUUAUCUAUGAUUUUGUUGCAAUUGGUGCUGAACGAAUUCUAACAAGUUGGUUAAAUAAUAUUUAUCUUUUUUUAUCAAAACAAAAAGCUUAAAAUUGUAUACAUGAACGAAAAGCUUUAUCCUUUCACUGCUUUAAAAAUAAAUAAAGAAUUUCUAUUUUCGCUAUUGUUGUACUCUCGUAUAUGAUUUAUUUUAGAGGUCGAGACUUGGAUAUUGGAAUACCAAACCAUUCACAAGGCUUCUACGUCUCGUGGCUUAGGAAAAGUAACAUUUGGACUCAUGGCGUCAACAUGUCACCGUCAAAGCCCAAAUGGAAACUUGUUCCUGGGUUGACCGGCAGAUGGCCCAAAUGAAGCUCAUAUAAAAAUGAAGCCCACUCAAAUUAAAAAGGAAUUAUUGAUUAAUUUUUUUUUACACCCUUACUAUUUUUACAGUACAAAAAAUAGUGACAAGCGUAGAUUCCUGUGUGUAUGAUAUAAGUUAAAUAAUAUUUAAAUUUUUUUUUUUUGCCAAUUAUGCUAAUCGAACGGCCCCAAUAUCUGAUCUGAUUGUCAUGUUGGGUGUCAAAUUGUCGAUACUUGGCCAAUAAUAUUUGUAAAGUUUAUUAUUAGCAUUUUUUUUUGGGAUUUUGUUCUAACAUUCUAAGGGAAUACCUAGUUAAGAAUUCAUAAAUGUGACUGGUCUAGGUCGGCACUUUUAAAAAAAAAAUUGAUUUAAUUGUCCUCCUAGCGUUUAACUGUCAGAGAACAAGACUUAGAAAUGAGAUGAUUAGGCUUAGGAAGCUCGUUAUCUGUUCAAGGUUACGUGAAGGUGCCCAACAAUAAUUAGACGAAAGUUCACUCAAGACAGAGAAAUUUAGGUGAAAAAUAAGAAAUUUAUGGACUUGUAACAACAAGUGCAACAAUAACUCUAAUUUACUCGCGAUGGUGGUGCUGUGCAUGAGGCAGAUUUUUGACGAACUAUAAACAUCAGUUGCAGCGGUACUUUAUGUUCAGCCAUUUUUUGCCUGGAUGGUCACAUUGUCACUAACUAAUACCAAAACAAUGUAGAAAACCACAACCUUGUUGUGCACAAAAGUGUGGAUCAAACCUCAACUAGUUACAAAGCAAAAUGCAAUAGGAAAAAGCUCAUUUGUAAGUAGGGAUGGCUGCAGGUACGGUAAAACCUAAUAUCCAGGGUGUUCGAUUUGAUGGUUAAUUCAAUUAGACAAUCGACGAAUAAUCCAUUAGGAUUUGAUAUUGAUGAGGGGUUAUCAAUAGGUAACUUGAUAGGAUUUGACAAGAGAAUUCUAAAAAUUUGAAACCCAAUAUUAUAUAUAUAUAUAUAUAUAUAUAUAUAUAUAUAUAUAUAUAUAUAUAUAUAUAUAUAUGUGCUUAUUCUCUUUAAUUCGUUUUUAGUUAGAACACAUGUUGUCUUGUAAAUUGUUAUUGUCAUAUUUUAUGUAUAACUCCUUGUUGAAAAGUAUGAGAUAGUUGUUUGAAUUUUCUUUUGAAAUACUGAUAAAUUUGCCUUCCAUAAAAUGUUAAAUUUCUCUAUAGCUUGACUCAAGUUUAAAAUUUAAUGUAGCAUGUUGAUCUAACAUGAUAUGCAUUGAUUUUAGCUUGAUAAAAGUUAAUUCCCAUUUUUAAAACUAUUCAGAUUAGUGGGUACUUGAUGGGUAAGCGGGAGACUUUGAUAAUAAGUGCUAGAACCUUUAGGAUUAUCUGAUAAGAUUUGAUAAAAAAUUUAGAUAUGCGAGUUAGGGUUUGAUAAAAAUUCCAUUUUUUGAGAGUACCUAACACGUUGCCAUCCGUAUUCUUAAACAACUUGGGAUGAAGCAAUGGGUCUUAAUUUAUCCAGUCUACAAGUAUAGGAUUUGAAUACAAUUAAUAAGAGAUAACAAUAGGUGGUCAGAUUGUAAUUGUAGUACUUUUUGUGAUAUACUAUACGUGAGCUAAAAAAAUUAUUAAAAUGUAAAAAAUUAAUUAAAAAAAUAUAUUUAUGAUGCAAGCCAAUUACAUUUGAAAAAAAAAAAAAUCCAUAUCCAAAGAGACCCAAUCUGAGAAAAACCAAGAGACCCAACAUAGACAAAAGCCUUGUUAGUUGUAACCGUGAAUCAACAUGAAUUGGGACAGAAAAUCAAAAUUGUUCUCUUCUAGUUUUGCUUUUUUACAUUUGUUCAAGAAAUCUAUAGAUCCAAGUUUUAUGCAUAUCAAACUAGCGGAAAUAUAGUACAAAAUUACGAAUACACUCCCAAUACCCAUGAAAUCCAUCCAAGAACACAAAAUAUGUAUUCAUACCUUCAAUCUAUUGAUAAAUAAUAAAUAUAUACAUAUAUAUAUACACACAGACACACAUAAACGCACGUAUGGUUCUUUAAUAAAUGAUGUCUUGCAGAAAGUUCCCAUCGAAGCAGUUUCGUAAGGAACAAAAUAUUCUUCAUUAUAAUCACUUGAUAAUAAAUAGUUCACAAUCCAAUUAUUGGCCGGACAAUGCCAAUGUUUGGGCUGAUGGAAAUUGUCAAUUUGGUGGCUUUGUCUUUCGUUCACAGCUUGACUCCCAAGAAAGAAUAGAGAAAGAAAAGGAAGAAAAUAGAAGGGGUAAACUAUGUAGGAAACUUAUAAAUUAUUUCAAUUGUCAACUUUUGGAACCUAAUUUAUUUUGAGUCUCAAAUUGUCCUUGAACGAUAAUAAGUUUCAAAUAUGGAUCCUUUAGUCCAUUUUAAGAGUUAGAUUCAUCAAUUUUGUACUUAAAUCUAUCAGAUUUAGCCAAGAAGAUAGAUUGAGGGAUCAAAAUCUGAAUUUUUUGUUAUUAUUAAUAGGUCAAUUUGAGACUUAAAACAGAUAAGAGAUCAAAAGUCAAUAGUUAUUGAAAUAGUUUAGGAGCUCCUUCACUAGUCUACCCAAAAAAAAAAAACUUGGGUUGAAAGUCAGGGUAGAAUAUAAUAAAUUUUCUGGAGAUACUCAUCACAGACCAUAGUCAAAUCUUAUGUGAACUUAUACUAUACAGGUACAUGCAUCUUUGCAUGAAUUCAAGUUCACGCUGGACUGGAGACAAUUUGCUAUAGAUACAUCAAAUCGACACAAAAAUGGAACAUUUGUCUGAUGCAAGGACCUUUUUUAUGAAGAAAACAACAAAUUUUUCUGACUAGGCCUAAUCUCCUAACCUUUUCUUUAAUCUUUAUUUUAUGGUGCAUAAGCUAGUAUGCCACUAUAUAACACUAAGCUCUAGUGAAAAGGAAGCAGAAACAUCUCCUUCUCAUUCUCAGACUCAGUCUCAAUCAUCAAAAAUGGAAUUAUAUAUCCAUCCAAAUCAACUAUAUCAAUAGUAGGUUAGGAAAAAAUGUUCAGCUUGACCGUAAGAUCUCAUGCCAGGCAGCUAAAGGUACUUUUGCCAUGGAAAAUGGGAGAGCCAAAAAUUUUUACGAAGUUCUUUCUCUUGAUUGCUCCAAAAAUGUUGGUUUUGAUGAAAUCAAGAAAGCUACGGAUGCAAAUCUCUUAAGUACCAUCCUGAUGCUUGCCCUCUAUUGAUGAAAGAAGGGUCAUGAGCUUAGUUUAGUUGGUGCUGACGGAAGAAGAAGACUACGUGGUAGAUAUAACAACGACAAUACUGAAGAGUUUCCUAGGGAGGUUUGGGAGAGGCAACUCAGGGAACUAAAGAAGCGUUCAGGGCAAAAAAUGGAGAAGAGAAUUGAUAAGAAAAUGUAAAAAGAGGAGAGGACAGUCGAUAUCUUUCUUUCUUUCUUUUUUUUGUUGGGUUUAAAUUCAUACUUUUAAAGAUUUUCUGUUAUGUUUUGUAUGUGGUAAUAGAUGUUGAGAGUGAUCUUGUUUGAUUCUAAUACUUGACAAAGUUCUUGUUUCUUUGAUGUGGCAACUAUAAAUUUCAUACGGUGCGGUUGGUUUUUACUCAAUAUAUAAUUGAUAAAGCUAUUUUUUCCACAGAAGAUAAUUUUGGUUCAAUUAAUUGUUACUCGCAAGUCAUGAUGUAAACUUUAUUUAUUGACUUAUGUUCCAUACUCAUUCAAACCCAAAAAAAAGAUAUAAAUAAAAUGACACAAGAAAACUUGAUCGUACAAAUUACAAUAGAGAUUGGUCUUACCUAGUAACGUACUUGAGAUACUUAAAGAAAGAAAAAGGGAAAAAGAAUUUGAAGCACUAACAUUAUACGUGAAUACUGCUCAACAUCUAAGGAAAAAAGUAUAUAAAAGAAAAAAAAAAGAAGAAUUUGAGAGAGGAGGGGAAAAACUACAAGAAUGGUAAUAGUCGUCUCUUGUCCUUUACGUUCUUUGAUGAAUGCUGUUAGAUGUUGAGCAGCACUUGUAGGACAAAAAAUUUAUAUGAUUUUUCAAAUAACGUAACAACAUAAAAGGAGCUGUCAUGAAAAUAAUUCAUGACAUCUGGCGGGACAAUUCAAACAUCAAUUUUUGUAAUUUUCGGAAGAGGUAUUUUUGUAAUUUUUGUAAGUGGUCAUAUACUCAUAAUAAAUAUUCAAGUCCUUGGAUUGUGGUUCUUCAGAACUAGAGGCAAACAAAAAUAGGACGUUUCUUCAAUAUCUUCAGAACUAGAUUUUGGUUUUCUUUGGACUGAUCUAGAGAAAGAAAGCACUUCAUUAAGUUUGUGGUUCUUCCAUUUUGCAUGGGAAGAGUAGCAUAGUUAUUUGCAGCCAGACAUUGGAUCAUAGCUUUGACCAUCUCACAGUUCCUCUCCUUGAAUUGAUCCAUUUUUUCUGAUCUAGUUCCAAACUUGAUGCUUACUAACUGGAAUGGACAAUAUAUGAUUUCAAGAUCUUGGGAAAACGACUAGUUCUGAACAGUUUUUUUUGUUUCUUAUUUUUGGAAAUUGCUUAUGAAAAAGCUGGCUAUAAAAAGAGAUUCAGUAUUGAGAUGUCUCUCACAUUUUGUAAAAUUUUAUGGAGAAUCGUUCAAAAUAUUUCUCACAAUCUGUAAAAUGAUUUUUUUCAUUCUUUAUUUUAAAAGUGUAGCUUUACGUUCUUUAUAAAUUCACAUUGGUCAAAUUUGGUCAUUACCUAGGUUUUCAAUAAGUUUUGGCUGAAAUCCAUCAUGUGCCUUGCACGUGAUCAUUUUUUGGGGCAAAAUUGUCAAAUCACAUUUCACAUAAUUUGAUUCAUAAUCCCUCACAUUUUAUAGAAUGAAUUUUUUCAUUCUUCACAUUUCACAAAAUAAAAAUUUUCAUCUCUCAUUGAUGAUAUGUACGAAUAGCCUUUUUUUUUUAAAAAAAAAGAACCCAUGUAUAUGCCUAUUUGAUUUCACUUGAACAAUACGAAUAGCAUGUAAUAUAUCUCUAUUUGAUUUCAGCCACAAUAGGUUGUUCAGAUGAAAUCAAAUAGACAUAUACAAGAAUUUUCAAAACGAGAAAAAACUAUUCAUACACAUGAUCAAUCAGGAAUAAAAAAAUUUAUUUUAUGAAAUGUGAGGAAUGAAAAAAUUUAUUUUGUAAAAUGUGAGGGACUAUGAAUUAGAUUAUGUGAAAUGUGAUUUGACAAUUUUGUCCUUAAAAAAAUGAUCACGUGUAAGGCACAUGAUAACUACCAGCGAAAAUCUAGUCGAAAACUUAGGUAAGGGUCAAAUUUGAUGAAUGUAAAUUUGUAAAGGACGUAAAAUUAUAUUUUUAAAAAUAAAGGACAAAAAAAAUUAUUUUAUAAAAUAUGAGGUACGUUUGAACGAUUUUCCUUUAUGAAUAAGGGAGUUGAAAAUCUAAUCAUUAGCCGGCAACGUAAUACACAAACAGGCAAAAGAAAUAUGUUCUUAAGUGCCAACAUCUGUAAUAGGUAAAACUAGUAUUCAAUUAUAUAUCUAAAUCAAGUUUAGCCAAAACCGUCCUCAUUUCUGACAUCAGCCCCCAAGGAAGAAGGAGAUAUUACAACCUCAAGAUGAAGUGUUUUCUAAUAGUUUGUAUUAGUGUAUCGUACAUGUUUUACCAAUUCAAGCUCCUCAUUGAUGCAAGACAAUUUGCUAUAAAGAAAUUAAAUCCUACAAAAGUAAAGACAGAAGCCACCAGUCAGUAUGAAGUAAACAACAAAUUCUUGUGACUAUGAAGAAAGACCGGAUAAGGACUAUGAAGACAAACAUUUAAGUGAAAAGUUAUUCAAGGCCCUCAACUUCUAUCCUUUUCUUUAAGCUUUAUUUAAAUAUCGUUCCAGUUUUACCAUGUCUUGUUAUAAAAUGCAUAUAGCACCUAGCAUUAUAGCUCUCAUAUCUAAUAGAAAUUGAGCAAAACUUUUCUUCCUCUCCUUCUCGGUCUCAAAAUAAUAACAUGGAAGUAGUAUCCUUGCAAGUUUAUGCUACUAGUACUCGGUAUGGAAAAAUGGUUCAAUUGAAUCAGAAUGGAAGGUUUAAAGAGAAGAUCUGUGGGCAGAAAACUAUGAUGAACUUUCAGGCUGCUAAUACCAUGCAAAAUGGAAGAACAUCCAAUUUUUAUGAGCUACUUUCUCUUGACUGUUCCAAAUUUGUAGGUCUUGAUGAAAUCAAGAGAGCCUAAAGAUGCAAAGCUCUUAAGUUCCAUCCUGAUGCUUGCACUGAUCCAUCGACAAAAGAAGAAUCCACGAGGCGAUUUAUUGAGCUAAGAAUUGCAUAUGGGACAUUAUCUGAUCCAAUUUUGCGUGAAAUGUAUCAUCAAGUGCUUAAUUUGGUUGAUUUACAGGGAAGAACAAGCCAUGGGAUGAAUUGUGGCAUGGGAAAGAGAAGAGGUGGUGGUGUUGAAGGGUUCCCCAGGGAGGUUUGGGAGAGGCAAAUCAUUAAACUGAAGAAGCGAUCAAUGCAAAAAAUGGAGAAGAGAAAUAAAAUGGGAAUCUAAAGUUAACUACCGCCAGUUUUCUAGUGCUUCCAAAUUUUAGUUUCUUAGUCAUUUUUUUUUAAUUUUUAUUGUUUUUUAAGUUUUUGUUCUCACUUAAAGAGUUGGUCUUGUAUUUGCCACCUGAAAAGAUCAUAAACAAGAUCAAGUACGUACUAUUUUUCCUCUCUGGGAAAGUUAUUGUUGCUUUUAACUUUACAUUUUAUUUCUUUUGAGCUCAUUUUUCUUUGCUAUCAGUUUUCUAAGUUUAUUGGAAAACUAUAAGAACAAUGCCAUUUUUUUUCCACCAAUAAAGUUUCAUUGCUUCCUAUCUGAAAAACAAAGCUUUAUCAGAUUUUUUACUAAUAUUCAGAAGGCCAACUAUUUCUAGCGAUAGGAAAGUUUUACAUGUCCUAUUAUUUGCAAAAUUUCUAUUACUUGUCCAUUUCUGAGUUUUGAUGGAGAAAAGGAAAAGAAAAUAAAUCUGAAGAAAAUUGCAUCCUUCAAUUAAUCAACUUUUACAUUUAAACGUUUGAGUUCCGUGUUAAAAGACAACAGAUGUCCACUAUCAAGUAUUGGCCUUUUAUUUUCAGCUUAUAGUCUAUUUUUCUCAUCCUUUCCUUCUAAUUUCUAAUUUGUCAGCAAGAUCUUAACCUAAAUAAAUUAAUCUUAUCAAACUAACUUUUUUUUUUUAGGGGUGUCCCGCAGGGAGUGGACCCCGUAGACUAUUCCCCACCCUCCACAACUUGCUGGCAACAAGGUUCGAACCAUGAACCUAAGACUCCAUUUUCAGUAACUUCAACCACCAGACCAAACCCCGGAGGGCUUAUCAAACUAACUUAGAACAUCACCGAGAUUAGGUGUUGGAAGGUGUGGAGAGGGGUGGGAGAGUUUAAAAAAAAAAAACUUGAGUUCAUAAUUUAUUAGGCCGAUUAUUGAUCACAAGCUCCAAGCACAAAUCCAAACAAAAUAUACUACCAACAAACAGAAAUAAAACAUCAAGGAGACAAUGCUAGACGGAAAAAUUAAAUAUCACUUCUACGAUUUGUCAAAUUCUUUCACAAAUACAGCCUGCAUUUUGACACAAGCUUAGUGAGAGAAACUUUAGAGCUCCUAGUUUAUCACCAAACAAAAAAAAGAAAGAAAAAAAAUGGAAAUCUAGUUAUUUUCAUCACAUGCAUGGGAAUUGAAUUUAUCAGAAAAUUUUUUAUAAAUAGGCUUGACGGACAUAGAAGGCCUAAGCAGUCUAGAAAGUCGAAUUCUCUAAUUUACUAUUACAUGGCAAUAGACUUGAUUAUUGGACAAUGGUGAGUAGAUAGAUUAAAAGCUUUGUUUGAGAAACUGCUAUAUAUAUAUACAUAUAUAUAUAUAUAUAUAUAUAUAUAUAUAUAUAUAUAUAUAUAGUAAAAGCUAGUUAUCCCUUUUUCUUCUGGAAGCCACAGAUUGUUUUUUCAAUUCCAAGUGUGCCUUAGAAGAACUUUGGAGCUAUCCCGUUCAUAGCCCUAGUCUUCAGUUGGCAAAAGUUCAAGGCGGAAAAGUGGAGGCAAGAAACUUCGUAAGUGGAGUUGGCAAGAAACUUAAACAAGAAUAUCUUACUAAAUGGAGGCCACCCCAGAGGAGCUUGUGAAAGUGAAUGAUGGGGCAUCAGCAGGCAACCGAGGGAAGGAUAGAAUGGGAGGAAUUGUCAGAAAUAAAGUAGGCCUUUGGCUGGGGGGCUUCUCAGUGGGAUUAGAGGCAGUAACCAAUAUUCAAGCAGAAUUGUGUGCAAUCCUUAAAGGUUUACAGCUGGCUUGCGAGAAUGGCUACAGGAAAGUGAUAAUUGAAUUAGACUCCAAAGUAGGGAUGAAAAUGAUUGAGGAAGUAGAAGAAACCUCACCAUACUAUAAUGUUGUGCAGCAAAUCAGAGUGCUAAAAGUAAGGAAUGGUCAUAUAGCUUAAAAAAUGUGUGGAGAGAAGGAAACAAAUGUGCGAAUUGGUUAGCAAAAGAGGCAGCCAGGAGCCAAAGAAACCAGGGAGAAAUUCAAUUUCCUCCAGGAAAGCUCAAAGAACUUAUAGGUGCAAAUAUAAUCGGGGUAGUUACCCCAAGAUUACUCCCUGUAUAAGAGGCAUUGCCUCUCCUACGUAUCCCCAAAAAAAAAAAAAAAAAAGGUUCAAAGCGGAAGCCUAGCAGGAAACAUUUUUGCCUUGUAUUUCGGAACUUCUAUGUUUCUGUAUUUUGGUUUUUAAUUAGGGUUAAUAACACUUUGCCCCCCUAAACUUAGGGAGUAGCUACAUUUUACCCUCCUCAAAAGUUACAUAUAUACACUUUAGCCCCAUGAAGACUAGUCAAAAUUAGAAACACAAAAAAAGUGAGUGUAAUGACCUUAUUGCCCUUUUAUUCGUGAAAUUAUCUAUAAUCAAUAUCAUUUCUUGUCAUUGCUAAAAGAUUUAUAUCUUCUCUAUCGUAUUAAUUAUACAAAAAUAUCAAAGUAAAAAAAGUUAAAGAAAGUUAACAUUUAGUUCAUGAGUAAACCUUAUAUAUAUUGACAGUGUACACACUAUCAUGGUUGGAUGCACUACAGAUAUGCAAAAUUUAUGUUUUAAAUUUAAAUUUGAAUUAUGUGUCAUACAUCUAGUGGUGAAAGUAUAUACACUGUCAGUGUAUAAAAUAUUAAUCCUUAGUUUAUGUCCUUGAAAUUUUUCUUGUUGGAUUAAUUUUUACUUCUAUAUAUGUUUUGUUCAAUUUAUUAGACUUUAAGUCAAACAAAACUAAUAAAUAACACAAUACUAAAAGUAAAUACAAUUACCAAAAUUUUUAAAAAAAGUAAUACACAAACUCAUUUUCUAAAUUAAUUUUUUAUCAUUUCAAUUUAUUUAAAAUUUUAGACUAAUAUCAUUGUCUUUUUUUUUGUUUAUAAAAUUAGUCUAAUAUGAAGUUCUUAAUCAAAAUUGCUAAAAAUGGUUGAUAUGCCUCAUUUUUAAAUUUAGAGAAGGAAAUGGAGAUUAAAUCAAAUUUUAUUUUUUGAGAAGAAAAUGCAAUAAUAAUAAAUUAUAAAUACAUCAACAGAAAGUGACAAUAGUAUUAGCUUAAAAGUUCAUAUAAACUAAAAUAAUAAAAAACUACUUUUUGAAACAAAAAACAAGUUUAGUAUUAUCUCUUUUCUGAAAAGAAAUUCGACAUCUAUGUUUAUUUUAGUAUUGUGUUAUUUAUUCUUUUUUGUUUUACUUCAAUUAUAAUAAAUUGAACAACGCAUAUAUAAAAGUGAAUACUGAUUGAUAGAAAAAAAAUUUAAGGAUAUAAAAUAAAUUUAAACUUUAUUCAGCUUUUUUGAGUUUGACAUUGUUGUAUAGUUGGUAUAAUAGAGAAGAUAUAUACUUUUUAGCAAUGAAAGGAAAUAAUACUAAGUUAUAGAUAAUUUCAUGAACAAAUGGACAAUAAUGUCAUUGUGCUCACUUUUUUGUAUUUUUAACUUUGACUAGUUUUCAUGAGGGAUAAAGUAAGUACUCUAAAAGGUAAUUUAAAAAUUAGUUUAAAUUUUUUUAAAAUUUUAAAAAAUAUCUCAAAAUACAUUAUAGAAACUCUUUAUCUCUUAAAUAUCCCAAAAUAUUUUCUGAAAAUAUCUCAAAAUAUAAUCUAAAAACUCUACUACAGCAAAAUUUUUUAAAAACACCCUCAAAUACAGCUAAUCCAAACAGACUAUAUAUAUUUAAAGUUGAAGGUGUUUUUUUUGGGGGGAGGGGGGGGGUAAAGUGUGACUACCUUGUAAGUCCAGGGAGGCAAAGUGUUAUUAACCCUUUUAAUAUGCUUCGCAACGGUGGAUUGAGGAAAAAUAAAAAAUUGGAAAAGGCAGUGAAAUGGUCCCGAUUUCUAAUAAUCCGUCCAAGGGUGACAAACCAAAAAUGAAAAAGAAAGAAAUAUAAACUUCAACAUACGUAAGUAACUGGAGCACUAGAAACAAUUGCACAAAUACUAUUUUACAAGCAAUUGGAACCAACCCGCCAAGGAGUUGAUGAUAAAAUUGUAAGCUAAUGAUUAAAAAACUAAUAUGAUCAUCUAAAAUUUCUUGAUGUUACCGCUCCCAAAAACAACAGAUAAGGCUCAUUAUUUAUAAGAAGUUGCAAUCAUUUGCCAGUAUGAUCAAGUGAGGCCAUUUUAGUAGAGAAGAUGUGCUUUAAUGUGCCUUACACAUUCAAGAAAGCAAAGAUUAUUGUUAAGAGGGAAAGCUAUAAUGAAGAAGGUGAAGGAAAGGGAUUAUUAGCAAAGGAGAUUGAGAAAUGGAAGAAGCAACAUGGCAUGAUUAUAAUACAAGAAGAGCAUGAUGCUUCCAAGCCCAUCAAACCAUCCCAUGAUAAUAAAUGAUCAUCAUCUUUCUCUUCACUUAUAUCUUUUUCAUUUGGUAACUUGUGUAAGUAGAAACUAUGCCUAAUUUGUGAUGUUUGUUUCUUGUUACCCUCUUUUUUGUGGAUUGGUAUGGGGAUAAUGGUGUGGACAAUUUUUUUAUCAUUUGCCUAUUAUAUGUGAUGGUGGUGUAAUGUUGGCAUAGUUGCACAGUGCUUGAGAGCUUUAUGGCAUAUAAAAAUUAUCCAGUCUUUUCCGUGUUUUUAUUUUUUUGUUUUGAGAUCUUUUGUUGGGAUUCAAAACCUUCUUCCUCUCUCUCCGGUUGACUUGCUAGAGUUUUUUUUUCAAAGAUUUUUUGAAGAAUUUUUUGGUGGGAUUGAUCGUCAAGAAUUGGUUGAUUUCGCCAAUAUACAUGUAGCAGACUCGAGAUUAUGUGUUUUGAACACGUUUCCAUUGUUGAUAAUAUCCAAGUGGAUCAAAGGAUAACUCUUGGCCUUUUUAUUUUACGUCGAUUCGUUAUCCAUAUUGAUUUUAUUCCCGAGUUCAACGUGGGAUUAUGAUUUAUGCCAAUUGCCAAGUUGAUCAAAAUAGUGUAUUAAUUGACUGGUCGAGACAUACAUGUUCAAUUGAUAACCAUCCACCAACAAAAAGUGGUUUAAGGAAGAUAACUGCUGAAUGGUCCAUAGUGCAGAUUGGAACCGAAUGAUUUGUAUAAAUCCUGCACUUUGCACACGUUAUCAGUAACAGUUUGAGAAUCCCUGGUAGAUUAAGAAGAAUGUCAUUUUAUGAUACGUGUUAGCCGUUGAUGGGCUUUCGUCACGAACCAAGAAGUAGUGUUCGAUCACUCCAACUUUUGGAUUUUGUUAAAGAAAACAAAAUCUUUUUCUUGAACUUCCUUGUUUCCCCAUUUUUUGGGUUGGCCAACUCCAAUUUGGCAAGGCUUUUGUGACUUUGAGAGCAUAAUGCUUGUUGAUCAAAUACUUGAAAAGGUGAAAAGAGAAGGAAAGACUUGCAUUUGCUGUCAAAAAAUUGUUUGCUAACUUGUGUUGUAGGGCUAAAAAUCUGCAAUGUCAAAGACAGAAUAAGUUUUCUUUGACGAAAAAUUGCAAAUUAGUUUGAUGGAGAAUCCAGGAGUUAAAAAGUCUAUCAGAAAAACAGCGAAAGUAAACCUUGAAGGGCCUGUGGAUAAACAUCUUGAAGAGUUUCUGGAGGCUGUUAGCAGGAAAAUAAGCAGACUCAACAUCAAUUACUCGUGAAAUGAAUAUUUCUAUUUCCUUCUUUCGGUACAAACGUGAAAUUUUUUUUUCUAGUAGGAGAGGAGUGAAAUUUAAAAAGUAAGAAGGGAAAUCCAUGCAGAUAUGGUAACUUUAAAUUUUUUUGUAUUUGGGAAAUAUGCUUACAACAAGAAUUUCUGCCUGCCAAACAGAUGGAGCUUAGCUAGGUGGAUAAGAUUGGUUACUUCUAAGUUCUAAUCAUUAAUCAUUAUACAGCGCAAGGAAGUUGAAAAAGUGACCAAAUAAAAUAGGAAAAGAAUACAUCAUUAGCUGUGUUUGAACCAAGGUUUUGAAUUUGCAUCUGGAUAGCUUGGCAAGAUGCUUCCACUAAUGGAUAUUACGAUUACGCUAAUUCAAUGGCUCUCCUUGGUCUCAUCCACUUGCUAGGCACUGCAGAACCUACAUUCGGACAAUAUCCUAUAAACUUUUCUUUAACUAAUGGAAUCAUAGGAUUUCCAACUUUUUAAUGUUAAUGAGGUCUAAGUUCUCUAAUCAAUUUUGGAUCCAAGAUUAGUAGCAAAACCUGAAUUUGGCGACAUCUCCAAUGUUUAUGGCAAUGGUAACAAUUCUAAGCUACCCCUGAUCUAGGGGAGUAACUUAUUACCCUAAUCAAGGCUUCGAUGUUACUGUUAUGAUUCAUAAUAACUCGAUGGAUGGCACGAUCAUUGUGCUAGAAACACAAAAUUUAAAAUUUUGCCCUAUCAACUUUCUGUAUAGGAAAAUGGCCUACCGCAGGAGUGACGGUUGAUGAAGAUUAGGUUCCAUUUUUGAGAAGGAACCUGAUGAACGACUACCAUCUCCAAGCAUGGUAGCAAGAGCACAAAUUCCCUAAUUAUGAUGCUGGGAGGUAGUGAAAAUAAUUAAUUGGCAGCAAUAGCACAAAGUCCCACAUUUUGACACAGGGAGCUAGAGAAAGUCAAUAACAAUAUCGAGAUUUUUGAGUGGCAUUGUAACUUUUUAUGGGCCCCGGGGGGGGGGGGUUGGGUUGUAGUGGCAAAUGAAAAUUUACUUGAACAUCUCCGCUGCAUCAUUCUGUCUUAAUGCUGUGACUAACUAGAGCAGUAGUUGCUUUACAGAUUGACAGCAAGACUUUUUGUUUAGAUGGAACUUUGCACUCAAUUCUUUAUUAAGAUCAGAUCGUGCUCAACCAUAAACGGUUGAAAAUUCACUCUUCAAAAGGAGUGUUUAGAGAUCGAAUUGAGACUAAAAAUAUGGGCAAGUUAACUGGUUGAGAAUGUAUGGGGACUGAAAGAUGGCUAGAUCAACAAAACAUGAGUGACAGGCCAAACUAUUCAACACUCAGGGAAAGGUGGGGUAUCUUUAUUCUUUGGUAUUUCCUAUCAUUUUCAACCCGACACAAAUGCCCGCCAUUGGCUGUGGACAUUAUGAGCCGAACAUCAAGGAAACAAGAAUUCUGGUUGCAAUCAUUUCCAUAUGCUUCUAGCAGUUGACCUGACAGAAUUUUCCUGAAGAACUGAUGGGAAUUCAGAUGAAGUACUUUCAUUUUUUAUUUCUGUCAAAUCAAUUAUCCACAAAUUGAAUGCUUGAAAAUGAAUUAAUAGUGCUCCUUUUAAGCACACUACACAUAACCAAAAAAAUGGUAAGCUAAUAAUUUAGUAAGAUGAGCAAAGCUCCAAUAGAAAUUCUGCAAACUGUUGCUGAGGUACUUAGUGGAGAAUGCAAUAUGCAUAUAUGAACUGGUAGAUAAACUUUAUUAAGUUUUUCAUGCCUUGCUAGUGUGUCAUUAAAGGAAUGUCACUUCCGCAGAAAGAUGUAUUCCACUUGUGUAACCUGGAGAAUCCACACAAUACAGGCAGUUAAAAUGGUACAGUGAAUUGCUGGUCCAAGUUUUGGCAAUGAUUGUAGGUGGUAGUGUAUAUGCUUUAGAAAAUGUUGAGUAGACGAGAACAAAUUUUUCUGCUGAAAUUUGAAAUUUGUCUUCUGCAACAGUGAAUAACUUAAAGAACUUUGUUUUUAAGCAACGUUCAGUGAGGGGAUUGGAAGAAGGGAGCUUUGUAUGCAAUAAUAUGCACCAGUGGGUCCAAUAAAGUUUGUCUUCUCAUAAUCUUUAUCACAAGAUCUACUUGUUGAAAAAAAAUUUCUUCAAUGCGCUUAGCAUUUGCUGUAAUUGCAGCAGUAGCAAGAUCUACUUAUUACUUUCUUUUCCAGGACUCAUUAGGUCUUUACUUGUAUCCUAUUCAAGUUUUAAGAUCCAUUUAUCAUUUAUUCAAGCUGAAAGACUUUUUAUAUAUUUGUGAGGGCAGUAUAGAUUUCCCUUGAAAGUUCAAAAGAGUGAGCAUUCCAAUUCAAGGAUGCUACUAUAUUUCUGUUCUCCAAUGCAAGUGGCACUGAUUGCUACAGUGGAGUGAAAAAACAAAAGAAAGAAAGCAAUCACAAAAAAGUUAGAAAAGUCCAAAAUAAAAAGUUAGAAGAGUCCAAAAUAAAGUACAAUAUUUUACCAGCUGCAGCACUUACAAGAUCAUAAACUCCAUAUGUUAGUACUAGUUCAUAGUCAUUGUUUCAGCUUAUUCAGUUUUGCAUGCACUGUUGAGGCUCUACUAUACUUUCUGAUUGUGGGGUUCAUGGAGGAAACAGCCCUUUGAGCUCUCCCAAACACUUCAAACAACUAUCAUGCCGUCAACUUCCUUGAACGAGAGAGGGAACUUCCAGUUCUCAGAAGCACAUGAAAAAACUGCUGCUGAAGCAGUGGCAAGAGCUGCAGAGGAUCUCUCUCAGUUCCCCCAAACUCUUCAAACAACUACAGUUCCUUCUGCCCAAGAAACCUCUAUAAUGGUGGCUGAUGAUAAGCUGCCUGAGAGGUUUCAGUGGGUGCUGAAUGCACCAGAACCACCAGGUCUAUGGUGCAAGCUGCAGAAUGGCAUGACCGAAACUAUCUUUCCUCUCAAGAACAAAUUUCAACAUCUCAGGGAGCACCAAAUGUCCAAAUCUUUGGGAAAUCUAUUUCCUAUCCUUUCUUGGGGCAAAGCCUACAACAUCAAAGUGUUCAGGAAGGAUUUAUUGGCUGGUUUGACUCUUGCAAGCCUUUGCAUUCCUCAAGUGAGUAAAAGUUAAGGAUGCCAUUAAUGCUUUGUAUCAUUGCCAACAUUAGGGACAAUAUUGGUUACUGUACUUACUCUUAUGUUUGUCCUUAAACUUCAUUUAGAGCAUUGGAUAUGCAACUCUAGCCAAGCUUGAUCCUCAGUAUGGUCUCUGUAAGUUUGCAUUCUCAUAUACUCUAUUGAUCUUCCAGAGUUGUAAUUUAAUUUUGGAGCACUAAACUACAACCAUUUCUGUUUAACUUCAGACACUAGUGUUGUUCCACCAUUUUUGUAUGCUAUACUGGGAACUUCAAGAGAGAUUGCAAUUGGACCUGUUGCUGUAGUUUCACUGCUUUUGUCAGCCAUGAUUCAGAAGAUAGAAGAUCCUGUAGCAAAUCCUGUUGCGUAUACGGGGCUGGUGAUCACUGUAACCCUUUUUGCUGGUAUCUUUCAAGCUGCCUUUGGAGCAUUCAGGUAAAUCAAAUUCUUGUGAGUUGGAAACAUCCUUGAAGACAUCACGAACUUACACUUAGGAUGUGGAUUCAUAUUAUAGGUUGGGAUUUCUGGUUGAUCUUCUAUCCCAUGCUGCCAUAGUUGGGUUCAUGGCUGGUGCAGCUAUCAUGAUUGGCCUUCAGCAACUGAAGGGACUGCUUGGAACUACUAAAUUUACAAACAAAACUGAUAUUAUCUCUGUCCUAGCAGCUGUUUGGAGAUCAGUCCAUGAUUCUGUAACUUUUUUCUUCCUAUGCUUUCUUAUCCUGAUUCGUAGAAGAUAUUCCUUGGCUUAUAAUAUAUAAGAGGAAGCUACUUAACUGCUGCAUAUUUUCUGGCAGUGGAAUCCACUGAACUUCAUACUUGGUUGUUCAUUUCUCAGCUUCAUCCUAACAACCAGAUUUCUGGCAAGUAACAUAUUGCAAACAGUAGUUCUAUUCUAGUUAAAGUACACCUCUAUUUAUCUUUCUAUAUCAAUUAUUGUGCAUAUGAACAUAAUCCCCAAAAUUCCACUUGUGCCGUAAAUUCAGGGUCGAAAAAAGAAGAAGCUUUUCUGGUUAUCAACCAUUGCACCUCUCACAUCUGUGGUUUUAUCAACACUCAUUGUCUUCCUAACGAGAGCUGAUAAGCAUGGAGUCAAGAUAGUGAAGCAUAUCAAAUCUGGGUUGAACCCUAUUUCUGUUCACCAGUUACAGUUGAACGGACCACAUACUGCUGAAGCUGCCAAAAUUGGACUUAUUGUUGCAGUUGUUGCACUUGCGGUGCACAUCUUGAUAACAACUCUGAGUAUUGAAUAGCUUAUUCUUACGUUCUAUAGUUUUACAAUGAUGUACAAUGUCAAACUUCAGGAAGCCAUUGCUGUCGGACGAUCGUUUGCAUCAGUGAGAGGAUACCACCUUGAUGGAAACAAAGAAAUGGUGGCAAUGGGAGUCAUGAAUGUUGCGGGAUCACUAACUUCUUGCUAUGUUGCAACAGGUGACCUUUCCCUUGUUGGUUAAUAGUCCUACACCUUUCCCUUGUUUUUGCAUGUACCAAUCUAAAAGUCACAAAACCAACUACCUUCCAAGUGAGGUAAAAAAAUUGUCUAAAGUUUUUUUUUCUCUAAUUUAAUCGUAAAAAGGUGGAAACACGGAAUGAAUAUUUGCCUUUUGCAAGACCAGGUAUAUUUUUAAAAGUGAGAAAUUUAAACCAUAAUCCAAAUUUAGUCAAAUUGCAGGCCUUUUUAAUUUUUUGGGUAAAUUACACUUUACCUCCUGUGAUUUAGUAUUUUUGUACAUAACUCCCUUAUAGUUUCAAAAACUAUACAUAACCCCCUCAUGAUUUGGAUUAAAAUGUCAAAGUAAUGAAAUUUAUAAUCCAUAACCGAGUCAUCUAAAAUAUGAAAAAUACUCCUACGUAAAGUUGAAAAUCAUUUAUUAACCACAUGGGUGUUAUGUGUGUAUUUAAAAAAUCAUAAGGGAGUUAUAUGGUAAAGUAUAAAACUAUAAGGAGGUUAUAUGAUAAAAUAUAAAACUAUAUGAGGUUAGUGCGCCAUAUAUAUAAUGUUUAUAUAUUUUGGUCUCUUCAGAUAUUUUAAUUUUUAAACAAGGGUAAUUUCGAUAUUUUCAAAAGUUCUGCUACGAAUGAUCAUUUUCGCCACUUUGAGAUUUUAAUUCAAAUCAUGAGACUGGUUAUGUAUAAUUUUUGAAACCAUAGGGGGUUAUGUACAAAAAAAAAAAAAUAUUAAACCAUAGGGGGAUAAAAUACAAUUUGCCCUUUUUUUUUGGGUUUAACCUGACAUAUUGUCUUACGAACUCAACUUCAAGGAUUGUCUUUACACAUCUAGACCAGAUAUUUUUAUCCAAUACUUUCCUGGUAGUUUGCUUGUCUCUUGCAAACAACCACCUGUAUGAGUUUCUUCAAGACAUGUUGCCCAAUAUUCAGUUUCCUAAAACCUCUAUGCAGGUUCAUUCUCAAGGACUGCUGUUAACUUUAGUGCUGGCUGUGAAACUGUGGUGUCAAACAUUGUAAUGGCUGUGACAGUUAUCAUAUCACUGGAAUUGUUCACACGACUCUUGUUCUACACUCCGAUUGCAAUCCUUGCUUCAAUUAUUCUUUCAGCUUUGCCAGGACUGAUUGACCUAAAUGAGGCUUACAACAUAUGGAAAGUUGAUAAGCUAGACUUCCUUGCUUGCAUUGGAGCAUUUCUUGGAGUGUUGUUUGCAUCUGUCGAGAUCGGCCUACUAGUUGCGGUAACACUUUUGAAAUCCUUGUUACUUACAAAAUUUUGAUCUGAGCUUUAGCUAUUCAUUGUGUUACACCUGGUACGUGUUGUCUGCUUUGUUGGGGCGUUGGAUGCCAAGGGUAAAAAUCAACUUCUCAAAGGAAAAUUUUGGAAUUUCAACUCCUGUGAUCCUGGAUUUUCACAUAAGUUUUACAUUUACCUUUCAUCCCUAACUUUGGGCCUACUUUCAAAAACACAGUUGAAGCUUGUGUUCGUUGAAUCCUCCACCCAAACUUGUUAUCUUUGAUUUUUAAGCUCUAUAUGGUCCCUGAUAAUGCUACGAAACCUGAGUUGCAUUAUUAUCAUAAAUGAUGUUCACCAAAUCUUUUCUUGAACAGAAAACUGUCCAAUGUUUUUUACCAAGAAAAAUGCUGCAUUUUAGGAAAAAUAUUGUUGCUAUACCAUAGUUUUGAACUGAAAUUUUGUACAAUGUGUCGACAGAAAGAUGCAGAGGAAAAGAAAAAUUCAUCCAUCAUUUCAAAGAACAAAAAUCUGCCUGCAGAUAUAGUGUAGCUAAACCCCAUUUUUCUAAGAGGUCUUCCAUAAUACUUCAAUCAGUGUGAGACUCCUAAAGGCAUGCAGACGCUACAAAUUUUUUACUACAUUUAUGGCAUUUAUACUAUAGAAUUACUGCCCUAAUACUUCUACAAAUUUAUGACCGGCUUUAAGUUGUUUUCAGUAGCUUAUGAAUUGUUUAGCUUGUUAUGUAUCAAAGUCACGCUAAAUUUAAAAUGACUAUAUGCCCACAUGAAUCUGCUGUUAAUACUGAUGGUCGAAAAGGAUUUUUCCCAGAACUCAUCCAUGAGCACUCGAACAGGAACCUGCAGGCAAGCAGGGAAAAGUGACUUAAGAAUACUUACUUGAUCCUAUACUGCAGCUAAUUCUUUAAGUUAAUCAGUUGAUGUGUAGAUUAUGAAUUGAUGAUGUUCUAAUUAUCAAAGUUUGUUAUGCAGGUAGGGGUGUCAUUUGUAACGGUAAUAUUGAGUUCCAUCCAGCCAGGGACAGAAACUCUCGGGAGGAUUCCUGGAACUGAUAUAUUUGUGGAUGUAAAUCAAUAUCCGAUGGCUGUUGAGAUCCCUGGAAUUCUUGUUACCAGACUCAAGUGUGCCUUGCUCUGCUUUGCAAACUCUAAUUGCAUCAAAGAACGGUACUGCAUAAACUCAAGUGAACAUCAGCACAUAUUCAUUGCCAUAUAUGUUCAAGGGUAAAGUCAUCCAUUUUUUUUCUCUCUGAAUUUGGCAAAGGAUACUGCAACUGGCAACUGGAAAGCAGGAGGUGGGUGAUAAAGGCAAUGCCAAUGGAAAGACCCAAUUAAUAGUAUUUGACAUGUCAAGUAAGUUCUUUUACAACAGAAGAAUCUUUGUUUAUGCCAAUGGAUUUCAGAUAAAUAGCAAGCUAGAUGUGGAGGAAUAGCUGAGGAAUCUAUAGCAUUUGAAAAACUCAACAAGGCUUGGUUUUGUGUUGAUUUUUUGGGGCAUAAACUUGGUAACAACACCUUAGUGUUGCAAAAAUGGCUUAUAAGAAACUUGUAUGACGCUGGAAAAUGAGCUUAUAUUAUUCAUCCAUCAACUCACUAUUUAUAAUGUUUACAAAGAAACAAACACACACAAUUUCAGCUAACAAUUCUUUAAAACAUCUCAACAAAAAGCUACUUGAUAACAUGAUCUUCUACCUAACAAAUGAUACCUAAAAUAUUUGUUAACAAAUCAAUAUGAUUAUUUUUUGUUAACAAAUAUCCUAACAAGACUUAUUCUUCUACUAACUAAAUUAUUCUGAUAUCAAACGCUAUCUAAUAAAAUCUGUAGGAAAAGUUGGCGUAUCUCAACAUUUUGAUACAAGAGAGAUUUAAAUAUUUCAAUUGCAUUUAAGUUUUCUGGCUUGCCUUCUAGAUUCAUAACAAUUCAGCCCUUUUCUUCAAGAAGAUUGCUGAUUUUUUUUUCUUUUCCUUUUAACUCUUACUGGUGAUAGAUUUGAUGAACAUUGACACUACGGGGCUUGCUUCUCUGAAGGAAUUGCAUAACAGCCUAGCAUCAGAGGGGAUAGAAGUAAUCGAUAUCUUUUGUCUAAUUUCCAGGGGACAAUAAGACCAGGUUCUCAUUUUUUUCUUUGUCUCAUAAAUUGUUUGCAGUUUGCUGUGACCAAUCCAAGGUGGCAAGUCAUUCACAAGCUAAGGCUGGCCAACUUUGUGGACAACAUUGGAAGGAGGGUCUUUUUAACUGUUGGAGACGCAAUUGAUGCGUGUAUUACUGCUAAAAUCGCCUAAUAAACAAGUUGGAGUUGUGUUGUCUGUCCCAAAAAUAUCGUAUAAAUAUAAUGGGACGUAUAAUAAAUGUAAAUACUUGCUUCUUUCCUUACCAACUAGGACAAGGGAAGAAGAAUGCUAUGGCUUGUGAUGGUGGUGAUAUUCUGUAAGAAACAUAAGCAUGAAAGCUGUGAAAUUCAUGUAGUUGUAAUAUAUCAUGCUUGGUGUGCUGCAAAAAUUGCCUGCCGAGGUCUGUCUUCUAUGAGUAGCUAAUUAGAUCUGCCAAUUCCAUUGUACGACUUUUUGAUGAUGUUUUCUUCUGGUUCUCUUUCUGUCUACUCAUGAAACAGAUGAUCAUUUACAUUGCUCAUUAUACCAAAUCAAAUUGAGAAGUGUGCUAAAGCUUGAUGCGCUAGAAUGUUGUUUACUAAUGUAUUUACUUGCACAUUUUUCAUGUUUUCGGGUACAUCAGUGCUCUAAAAUCGACAGGUGAGAAGAUGAUAACGCAAAAGAAUACCAUAUGAACUUAUCAUUCUAGAUUUAAGAUGUAUACACAACUUUGUACAGUUUGAUGACAAGUAAGAAGAGCUUCCCAAAUCUGAAAACCAGAUAACCAACUUAUUGUAACGUGUAUAUACAGUUGGUAAAUGAGUAAAAUCACUAAUCAGCAAAUCAGUUAAUAAAAGAAUCAAAGAAUGUAAGAAUCAAAUUUCUGUCGUGCAGCCUUUGUUCUGUGGUAGAGAAUCUGCUUAUUGCAUCUGAGCUUCCAUUUGAUUCUUUGGAGAAUUAAUAUUUCGUGGCCAUGUGAAUCAAUUGGCAUGAGGAACACUGCAGAGGAUUGUCCUCCGUCUCUGAUCUCGUUGGCCUUUGACAGACAGACAGAGAUAGAACUUUGACAUCUGGAGAUGCAAACAUAUGCAAAUGACGUGAACCAGCUCCAUCAUCUCACCGCAGCAGGGAAUGAGAGUGCCUUAGGAGAACACUGAGAGGCUUGUUUUGCACUUUGCACAACAGAUUCCCCACUCUUACUGUCAUCUAGGUAGAGCUUUCAAUCAGCGAUAUUGCAUGAAGGAUAACUAAGGCAAGAUUUAUAGGAUAAAAAUUUCAGUCUAACCUUUCCAAGACUUCCUGUUGUAUAUGGAACUACUCUACGACAUCCUACAGAUGGUGGUGGAGAUUUCCUGCUGCUUUCUCCAUAUGGAAAAUUUCCUCUAUUGCUUCUUAAUGUCAUUGUGAAAGAAUUAUACCGUUUGUCAUCCAUUGCAUUUGGAAAACUCGACUCCUGAAGUGUAACUAAAUAAGAACCUCGAUAAUCAAGGACAAAGUGGAUGGAAUAAAAGUUGGUGUAUGUAAUGCGUAUACCAGGAGACUCCUGCUUCGUGUUGUCAUACUGGAAUUGCUGUUCCAUUUUCCUUGCAGAACAUUUGGGAGGGUUGAUUCCUGGGAAAGUUGGAUAAUUUUUAGGCAGUAAGUAAUCACUUAUAUGAUUCUUCUCAUUAUCAGGCAAGAGAACAAUCAAGAAGUUAAUGAUGUAUACCAGGAACAGGACUGUUGCACAAUGCUUAAGGACUUCCAAAUUCAUCCGAACAUCAUCUAGGCUUCUGGAAUUUGAAACAUACAAAAUGUUGAACUUUGCGCUAUGAGUUCAUUUCCAGAUAAAUCAUGUACUGUCUUGUGGUUCUGGUUGCAGAAAGUAUGCACUUACCUGUGCUUUUGCUGUCCAAGGCCAAAAUAAGUUGCCAAUGUUGCCAUCUGAAGGAAAAACAUAAACCGGAUUUCCAGGGUUGUCAUCAAAGUCAAAGAUGUUAUAACUAAAAUGGUUACUAUCAUCAAGCAUGGCAAUCUCCGUAUUGUGAUCAAGGAAUGAAAAAUAUGACAUGCAAUGAGGCAUACAUCAGCAGAACAUGUUGUAAGGAUUUGAUGAAUAGCAAGGACUAUUGUUUUGAAAUGUGAAAAGUACCUUCAUAUUCCCAGCUCUUCUGCCAAACUUCUCUGUCAAUACUCUCAAUGAAUCUAUAAUCCCAACAGGGACAGGAGCAGGCCUGCCAAUCUCAGCAAAAGCUUCUUUAAUGCGAACACAAUCAAACCUCUGAAUAUUAUGUCCUGCCCAAAUCCUGCCAUCAAGAAUGCUGAAUAUCUUAUCUGCAACUUCUUCAAAUGAAGGUGCAUUUACAACAGCUUCGCGGGUUAUCCCAUCAGAUCGACCAGACCUUUCCGCAACAGCAGACAAGUCCGCUGGCCUAAUGAGGGUGCAAUAGCUCUCGAGCUCAAUCAGUUUCCUUGGACAAACAACAAUAGCACCAAACUCCAAUACCCGAAACCUCUGUCCUGCCUUAUUAGGAACAUUCGUUUCUAAAUCAAAGAAAACAAUCUCUGAUACUCUUUCGCCACUAAACUUGGAAAUUGCCAUUUCUAGCUGCCUAUAACCAACUCCUUAUUCUUCCUGUUUGCAACUUAUCGAAUUGAAUAGAAAUGACAUGAGAUCAUCCUUCUAUGUUAUAUAUACUUGAGGCAACCAUGCAAAAGCAUGGGAAUGAAGAAGAAUAUUCCUGACAAAUUAAGCUAGGUAGAUUGUCUUGUAGUUCAAGUAAAUUGUUAAGUUUGGAUUUUGGACAAAGGUGUCCUUCGCUUCUUGAUGAUGAUCAAGUCCUGGACUCCUAGUCCCCCCAAUCCUAGGUAAAGCAACGAGGCUUAGGUACUGUUAUGUAAAUCCAGUUACAAACAGAAAUCAAGAACUGGGAAGCAAUUGCAUGGCUGUAUAGACAUUUGCCUUCGGCUGGAAGAGGAUUCAGGGAUUGGAAAUCCUGUUGAGAAAAUGAAAAAUUGUACGCUGGUACAUUCCAAAGAAAGCAGAGUCUUGCAAGAAAGUCAGUGGCUGAUGUCUUACGUUUGUGUAGAGCAAAUACCAAUACCACCGAUGUGGGACACGCAUGCAGACAUGGCAAAACGGGACACGUUAAUUCAUUCUGACCUGUAAAAUUAAAGUGGUCGUCCUUAAAUUUUCUUUAAUCCAAAUUAAAUUCAAAAGCAAACUAUUUUUUUUUUUAAACUUUUGUUAAUUGAUUAUAUGUUCUAGGAAACUUGUUUUGUUUUCUUAUAAACUUUAAACAUAUUAUUAUCCAACUUAUUUUAUUCUUGCAUAUACAUUGUUUAGGAAAUUAAUAAAACAAAAAAUUUAUAAUUAUCGAAAAAUUUCCUAAAAAUAAUCCUUCAACACGUGUAAAAGUAACAAAGUUGCAAAGGGGAUUGAAUAAUCCCAAUAGUACUAUUUUGACAAAAAAAAAUAUUUUUUGAAUAACCCGGAUCAAUAUUUGUACUCAGAAGCGGAUUACAGAUUUUAUAAGUCGAUUAAAUUAAAAACUUUCGAAACAUUUAAUGAUUUCAUGUCGUGAAGAAAUUAAGGGUGCGGUCUUUUUUUUUUCCCAAGCUCACACAAGAAAAAGAAAGAGAGAGGUUAAAUAAAACUGCUACAUUCCAGCAGCAAACUAAUUUAAUUUUUUUUUCAAACGUAAUUAAUUAAACUGCAAUAUCUCUGGGUGUAUUAACAUAGUGAGGAGGGUGUGAUUUAGGUGUAUUUAAGGGACACUUAUGAGAAAAAUUCAUAAAUUUAGAUCAAUUAGGACUAAAUUCCUGAGAAAAUUAACCACUAUAAAUGGUCUGUAGUUAUGAGUACAUACAAAAUUCAAGUUUAAAUUAACACCCUAUAUAAAUGAUGUUUUCUAUAAAUGACUAAGCUAUUUAAAAUUUUAAAUGGACUCAUGUUUAUUGUCUUCUAUUGUAUUUAUUCACUUUUUUAAUUUGACUUCUUUUACAAGAUUAAUAUACCAGUCGCAAUUACUAAUUAGAACGAGCACUCGUUAAGGUAGUAUGUUUUUCGAGAAGAAUGUUUUUAUUUUUUCUGUAAGUGAGACGUCUUGAACCCAAAACCUCUCCUCGACAAGAAUGCUAUUAGUUUGAAAAAUGUAAUUACGUUCAAGGAGGAAAAUAAAUGUGAAAGCUUGAUGUAAGUUAAAUAUAUUAACGAGUUACCACCAGACAUCUGUUUAAAAAAAAAAAAAAUCCUUACAAACAUGCUAUGCACAUAAUAGCAAAUAUUCCAGAUGAAUUGAGAUUUAUCUCAAAUAAAGAAAAAAAAAUUGAAACACUUGGGCAAAAAUCAAGACUAAGGAGCACAAACGAACCAUUGCUCCAUUCAGAAUGAGUUCUAAAAAUUGUUUCUCAUUAUCGUUUUUGGCAAAAUUGUAGAUCUGAUUUAUUAUGGCAUGCUAAUUCCCACAUGGUGAACCACUCUGCUAAAUAGUAAUCGAAAUUUAAGACUUCUGCAUUUUUUUUAUACAUUGUCCCAAAACGAUUGAAAAUGGCAACUGUCUGUAACCUGUUCCUGAUAUCCAUAAUCUUUGUCGCAUCUAAACUAAUAAAAUGGAAAUUAUAUAUCUUACAAAUUAAGAUCUUCUCUCAAGAAAAGAAAAUUUUAAAAAAAAAAAACAUUGUUUUGGUACAUAAAACAUACAGUUCGCCAUACACAUGUUAGAUCUUUCAUCAAACAGACAAAAUAAAAAGCUACUUCAUGACUUGCAAAAGCUAAAAGCAAGGGGGAAAGAAUCAGCUUUUAAUUUAUCAUAAUUUAGGCAGCGUACAAAGACCAUUUAAAGGAUAUGAAAAGGUCCAGUCAAAUACAAAUUGUUUCUGUUACACUAAACCAAAUAAAGCUGGGUGGAAAAAUUACAAGAGGUUCAGAAAAAUUAUUCUUACAGAGGUCUACUUACAGCAACAUACAAAUUCUGAUCACCCAGAUAUUGUGUUUCAGGAUAUAUG
rnacentral:lncRNA from 1 species